AGCACAGUAGUAAUCUACUUAACACAUAACUGAAGCUUCAAGAAAGGAAAUCUUAACAAAAACAAAUUAUUGCAAAUAUAGGGAAUAUUGCUAUUAAAACAAGUUCAUUGAAUAGUAAUGUCCAAGAUGUUAUGAUUCUAAAAGCUUGUUCACCUUAUUCAAAAAUUAGGAAAGAGUUCCUAAAAUUUCAUAUUUUAACAUCUGUAUAUAGAUGUGCUGUAUUUAUAAUAGUUGCUGACAGUGACAGUAUAAAUAUUAACUGGCACUUAGUGGAGUAGUUUUGAGCUAAGCGCUUUGCCAACUAUUUUAUGAAUUAUGUCACUAAAAAAAAAUCUAAAAAAUAGACCGCUUUGAUGGCUUUAAUUCAAUGUUCCACACAUGAAGAAAUUAGAGCUUCAAAAAGCUCAGCGGCAUAAGCGCCUGCCUUGCAAGCAGGCAGUCGUGAGUUCGAUCUCCGGUACCAGUGAAAAAGACAAAAAAAAAAAAAAAAAGUCAUUAGACCAAGAUCAAAGGGCUAGUACCAUAAUUAAUGUCAUUAACUUUAAACCUAAGCAUACAAAUUCCACUGCUCAUAUUCAUAAUUAUCAUGGAACUUCUUAAUCUUAGUAGUUGAUGUUCUUUGAUGAGUGCUUAUAACCUGCCAGGAACUGGCUAAGACCAUUGUGAACAUUGCUUCAUUGAUUCCUCAAAACAUUCUGCUAAAUAUAUGCUAUUAUUUCUGUUCUGUAAUAGAAUAAAGGAGAUUCAGAGACACUCAUGGUCUUUUAAAUAAAAAGAAUCAAAAUAAAAAAUAAACUCAGUUUUUUUUUUGUACCUUGUAGUUUGCUAGUUCAGCUGUAGUCAGCAUGAAAGGCUAUACCCAUGUUUAACUGUUUGCUUCUUGAAAUAUAUGUUGAGAAUCACUCUUACAUUCUUUUUCUGUUUUUACUUGAUGUAAUUUCUUUUUUCUUUCUCUCUUUCUUUUUGGUAAUGGGAAUAGAAUGCACAACUUGGUGCUUACUUGAUGAAAUUUAAAAUGUACUUUUUAUGUUAAAAAAGUUAAAACCCAAAAGUUCAUAGAAUUUUUUAUGAUAUUGAGCUCUUUGUAUUUUUUAAUUUAGAGGCAGGACUUUGAGGAGUUUCUUAAAUGGGAUUUAACUUGUGGUCCUCUUACCUCAGUCUCCUUGAAUGUUGGGAUUACAGGCAAGAGCUCCUAUGCUUGGCCCAAAAAUAAUUCUUUAAGUAAAUACCAUUCUUAGUUAGAAUUCCACCUUUAAAUUGGAUAAAAAAGAGUCUCAUGUGGAUGAGUUCAACAGUUCAUUGGUUAACAGUCACUGCUAUUGGAAACAUCAAAUGAUUGGAAAAUCACUUUGUAGCCUGUGAGGUCCCAAUGACAGCUUGUUACAAUAAAAUCAAAGUGGAACCUUACCUCCUAUAUCAUAAUCUAGAACUCCUUCCAAUAUUCUGUCCUGCUGUUUAAUAUGUUUUGUCAUCUAACAUUCAAUUAUUUUAUUUAACUGUGUAGUGAAUUUUUAGUAAAUGACACAUGCCAAUAUUUAAUACUUGCAAAUGAAAAUGAUCCUUAAUAUUUAAUACUUCAUCCCUUAAUGCUUGCAUAUGAAAAUGCUCCUUACUUGGACCUACAUCAAAACCUCACAACAUAAACAACUGUAAAUAUUAAUUGCAUUCUGCAUUCAAUUAAAAAUUCUGAGUAUACUAAUUGUAUUAUGAUUUUUAAGAAAUUUUAGUUUAUUACUACAUGUGUGUAGCAUGUAACGUCUACAUUCCUUGUGGGAUAUUGAUACAUGUACAAAACACAUUUUUUAAAAAGAGAAUAAAACCGAAUCAAAACAGGAUAAAAAGCUAAUCAGAACAUAACAAUGAAAGUGAUACAGGACUUGAAAAUAAAAUAGGAAAUCAACAAUGGAUACUGUGUCUCUUGUUUUUUUUUUUUUUAAUAGCUGUUCAUACCAUCAGCUACAGUAAAAUCAAAACCAAGUAGAACAAAACCAAGCAAAACAAAAGAAUGAAAGCGUUACAGGAUUUCAAAACAAGAUAGUGGGAAAUCAACAAUGGCUACCAUAUUGCAUUCAGUUAUCUUAAGAAUAGCUGCUCAUACCACCAAACACACUAAAAUCAAACAGAAAAAGACAGAAUAAAACUGAACCUAACAAAACUAUGAAAACAAUACAGGAAUUUAAAACAAGAUAGUAGGAAAUUAACAGUAGUUACCACCUUCCCAUUUUAGAUGAUUCCUCCUGUAUCACUUUCAUAAUAUCUAUUGUACAUUUUGGGUCCCACUAGCUCCUUCAGUUUUUUACACUAGGAGUGUAGACAGAACAUACCUUAAUUCCUUUUUUCAUCCUCUUUUCCUUCUCUCCUUUCCUCUUCCACUUCCCCAUUGUUUGAUCCCUUUCCUUUUAUUGUGUGUGUGCAAGUUUGCAGUACAUAAUAUUUACAUUUCCUUUGCCAGUUGGUACUCAGACAUAAAACAUCUCAACUCCUUUUCUUUGUCCCUUAUCCUAACCCUCCCUGCAUCCCUUGUACCCCUUUGAGAGGGAUCUAUCUACUUACUUCCUGUUAUCUAUUAUUUUGCUUUUUAUUUUUACCCUGGGUUUCUCAUAUAAGACAAGCAAUGUGAUAGCGAAGUAUGCAUGUCUGAUUUAUCCCACUUAACAUUUUUUCCACGAUGAAAAUGAGCUUAUCUUUGUAGCAAAGUAAUACUACAUGGUAUGUAAAUACCACAUUUACUUUAUCCAUUCAUCUACUCAUGGGCAUGUAGAUUGCUUCGAAGAUUUAACUGUUAUUAAGAAUUGUGCUACUAUAAAUUGGGUAUGCUCUGUAAUAUGAUUUGGGGGGGGAAUAGUUGUAUUGAGUGGAAUUUAUUUUUUUAGUUUUUCAAGGAAUUUCCAUACUGAUUUCCAUAGUGACUGUACCAGUUUACAUUUCCAUUAACAACUAGAAUGGUUCUCUUUUCCCUUGCACCCUCUCUAGUAUAUAUCGUUGUUUGAUUUCUUGAUGAUGACCAUUCUUUCUGGGGUAACAUGGAAUCUCAGUGUUGUUUUAAUUUGUAUUUUUCUAAUGGCCAAAGAUGUUGAACAUUUCUUUAUGUAUUUAUUGGUCAUUUGUGUUUCUUCUGUGAAGUGUCUAUUCAUUUUACUUGCUCAGUUUUAGUUUGGGCCUUUUAUUUAGAAGGGCCUAAUUUUUGUUUAGUUCUUUAUGGAUUCUAGAGAUGAGUCCUGUAUCUAAGAAAUUGAUGACAGAAUUUUUUCAAUUGUCUUUUCACUUCAUUGGUUGUUUCAUUUGCUGUGCAGAAGCUUUUUAAUUCAAUAUGAUCCCAUUUGUUGAUUCUCAGAUUAUUUGGUGUCCAGCAGUUCAGAAUAUUCUUGCCUAUGCCUGUGGCUUCAAGAGUUUUGCAUAUCUUCAGGUUGUUUUUCAAGUUUAACAUUUAAAUCUUUGAUCUAUUUUGAUUUUAAUUAAGUACAUAAUAAAAGAUAGGGAUCUAGAUUCAAUUUUCUGCAUGUGGAUAGCCAGUUUUCCCAGCACCAUUUAUUUAAGGGGUUAUUUUUCCUCUAGUGUGUGUUUCUGUGCCCUAUGUCAAUGAUAAAGUAGUUAAAUAUUGAACAACUUAGAGCUAUUCCUGCAUCCUCUAUUCUGUUUCACUGAUCUUCAAGUCUGUUUUUGUCCAUUACCAUACUGUUUUUGUCAAAGCAGGUUUGCAGUAUAACUUCAAGUCCAGAAUUGUGACUCCUCUCACUUUAUUUUUUCUACCUAGGAGCACUUUUUCUAUUGUGGGUUUCUUCUGUUUCCAUAUGCAUUUUAGGGUUAUUUUUACUACUUUUGUGAAGAAUGCUGUUGAAAUUUUGAUUGAUAUUGUAUUAGUUUGUAUAUAAUUUUUGGUAGAUUGGCCAUUUUGACUAAAUUGGUUGUACUUAUCCAGGAACAGGAAAUAUCUUAUCGUUUUCAAUUUCCUCUUUCAGAAUUCUGUAGUUUUUGUUGUAGAGAUUUUUUGUGUCCUUAGUUACACUAAUUCUUAAGUAUUUAAUUUUUUGUGCUAUUGUGAAUGCUAUUUUUCACUGAUUUCUUUGUCAGGAGGUUCAUUAUUAGUCUACAGGAGCACUUGAUUUGUGUGUUUAUUUUAUAUCCUGCUACAUUACUUAAUUUGUUUGAUUCUAAGUGUUUUGGUGGAUUUUUUGAAUCUUCUGUGUAGAAAGUUAUGUCACCUGCAUAUAAUGAUAAUUGGACUUCUUCCUUUUCUAUACAUACUCCUUUUAUUUCUUUUUCUUGCAAUAUUGCUCUUGGUAAUGUUUGAACAGGAGUGGUGAUAGAGGACAACUUUGGUUUGUGCCUGAUUUUAGAAGGAAAGUUUUUAGUUGUUCUUCAUUCAAUAUGAUGUUGGCAGUAGUUUUAUCAUAAAUGUCUUUUAUCAGAUUGAACUAUUUUCUCUUGUUUUUAUUAUGAAAAUAUAUAUUUUGUCAAAGACUUUUUCUGCAUCUAUUGAGAUGAUCAUAUGAUUUUUAUCCUUGCUUUUGUUUACGUGUUAUUUUACAUUAAUUGAUUUGAGUAUGCUGAAUCAUACUCCCAUCCCUAGGAUGAAACCUAGUUGGUCAUGAUGUAUGAACUUUGUGAUGAUUUGUUUCAUUCUGUCUGGUAAUACUUGGUUGAGAAUUUUUGCAUCAAUAGUUAGGAAAAGAUUGUUCUGUAGUUAUAGUUUUCUUUCUCUCUCUUCCUCCCUCCCUCCCUCUCCCUCCUCUCCCCUCCCAUCCCUUUCUCUCCCCUCUCCUUCCCUUCUCUCUCUUUUGAUUGGAUUCUUGUCUGAUUUUGCAAUCAGGGUAUUGAUAGCUUUCAGGAAUGAUAUCAGGAGCAUUCCUUUUUUAAAAAUUCUCAUUAAAAACCUUGAGGAAUAAUGGUAUUAGAUCUUUCAUGACUUUUUUUUGUAGAAUUCAACAGUGACUCCAUCCAGACCUGGAUUUUUUUGUGGUAGGUUAUUCAUUACUCGUUUAGAUUCAUUGCCUGUUUUUUGGAUUAUUCAGAGUUUUAAAAUCAUCUUGGUUCAAUUUUGAUACUUCGUAUCUAUAGGAAUCUAUUCAUGUCUUCUGAUUUCUCCAAUUUAUUGGCAUAUAGCUUUGUGAAGUAUCUGUUAACAGUGUUUUUUAUUAUGGAAGUAUCUAUUGUGAUUUCAUUUCUAAUUGCAUUAAUCUAGGUCUUUUUUCUCCUAAUUUUGGUUAGAUUGGAUAAAGGUUUGUCUAUUUUGUUCUUUCAAAGAAUCAAUUCUUAAUUUAUAAUUAUUUUUUGGUCUCAGUUUCAUUGAUUUCUGCCUUGAAUCUUUUUUUUUUUAAUUUUAUUUAAGGAGAAAAGAAAAAAAAGCAGAGAAAAGGUACAAGUUAUAUAGAUUUACAGAAAAAAAAAUGAACAGUAGGAAAUCACUAGUUAAUGGAUUACAUAUUGUCAUUUUAGAAAUAAUUGUUCAACUCACAAAAUUAAAGCUUGUAAAGUGGACGUUCCAUCAAUGAUACUGCAAACAGUUCUGUUCAAUGAUCCAAUAAAACUCUGUGAUAUCAUUUUCUAUCUUAUACACUUAAAUAUACAUGCAGUUAUAUAGUUUAGAGCACUUUCUUUUCCUCUCUUUUGUACAAUGACUAUUACACAUUUUGGGUUUCAUUGCUCCCACGGUUCUUAUUACUUUUUUGGAAGAGAGUAAAACCAAAUGUGACAUAACAAAACAGAAUUGGUCAAGUCAAAAGGGUGGACAUAAUAGAUAAUGUAAAAACAUAAUACAAGGUGAUCAACAAUGGUUACUAUAAUGCCUCCCGCUAUCUCUAAUAGAAUUGCCUAUAUCGUUAGUUAUAAUACAAUUGAACAAAACAGUAAAGAAUAAAACCGACAAAACCAAAACAUUGGAGACAUUGUAGGUCUUCAAAAGUAGAUAAAAGUCAACAAGAAUCGGUGUUAUAGUGAAUCUCAUUAUCUUCACAGCUGAUGCCUAAACUUUCGAACCUGAUACUAUCCAGCAAAACAGAAUAGGGGAACAUCAGUUAAAAACCAGAUGGUGAGAGUAAUACAGGGCUUUAAAUUGAAGAAAUGGAAAGUCAAAGUGGGUUACUAUAAUAUAUCCUGCUAUUUUUUUUUCCUUUAGUUAAAAGGAUAAAGAUAAAAAAGUAAAUAAUGGAGUGGAGAUUGAGAUAAAAGAGGGCAUAACAACGAAACAGCGCAGAUCAAAACAUAACCAUUUAAGCAGAAUAGUGUUUCACCACCAGAUAAUCCUAACCUAAAAGUAGUUACCAUAUAGUCUCUUUCCUUGAAAUCCUUGAGUACAACUUCGUAUACUGUAGCAUUAAGUAUAUCAAAACAAUGUAAAACCAUUUAAGAGAAUGACAGCAUUACAAAGUAUUUAGAAUCGACUAACAGAAAAUGAACAAUGGUUUCUCUAUAAUCUCCUUGUCUUUAAGAGGUUUUCGCUUAUACUAUCAUACAUAAUAAAAUCCAAUAAGAUACAACCUAUUUAGACCAUUGGAGACAGAAGGACAAAAACUAGAUGAGACUUCAAAACAAGAUGAUACUAAAUCAGUAUUACCUCUUAAGAUGUCAUUUUCUCCAAAAUAGCUGUUCCUAUCAUCCAAUCUUCUCUGCCUCAUUUCUGUUGAGCUCUUUUUCUGUCAGUAGCUGUCAGUUUGUUUUCUUCAUUUUGUUCUCUGCUCCAUUCGUUGUGGCCUCCCCGCCACUAUUUCUGGAUUCUUUGUAUUUUUCUUUUUUUAGAAUAUCCUGCAAUACUCUCUGUAGAGUUGAACUGGUGGUUGCAAAUUCCCCCAGUUCCUCUUUAUCCUGGAAGCACCUUGUUUUUCCAUCAAUUUCCAGGGACAGUUGUGCAGGAUAUCUCAAUCUUGGCUGGAGAUUAUUAUCUUUCAAAGCUUGAAUUAUUUUCCCCAUGCUCUUCGUGAUUUGAUAGUUUGUGCAGAGAAAUCUGCUGUAAUUCUGAUGGGUGUUCCCUUGUAAGUGAUCUGUUUCUUGUCUCUGAUGGCUUUUAAUAUUCUGUUCUUGUAUUGAAUUUCUGGAAUUUUUAUUAUUAUAUGCCUGGGUGUUUCUCUGUUAGGGUUGUAGGUAGCUGGGGUCCUGUAUGCCUCGUACAUCUGAGUAUCUUUACCUUUUGCUAAAUUAGGAAAAUUCUCCUGGAUUAUUUCUGUGAGUAGCUUUUGUAGUUCACUUGUUUGUGUCCCUACUUCUUCUUUUAUGUUCUUAAUCCUUAAGUUAUGGAUCCUCUUAUCAUUUUCUUGUCUUUGUAUUAUUGCUGUUUGUUUCUUUGUUAUUUUUAAGAAGUUUUUCAUUUCAUUCUCCCAUAUUACAAGUCUGCCCUCCAGUUCAGAUAGUCUGUCCUUAGUUUCUUUCAAGCUGUUAUGCCAGUCUUGGAUAGACUUCUUAGUAUCUUGGUAGUCCCUUUGAACCUGCUUCACGUAUUCUGUGCUUUCUCUGUUUUCUCCAUCAAACAAUUCUCCCCUCUUUUUCUGUUCUUCCAUUCUACCAUCUGUUUUUUCUUGGGUGGUGCUUAGCAUUUCUCUAACUAUUCUGCAUACUUCUAGCUUCAGGUCGUUGAUAACUUCAUUCCUGAAUUGGUCUAUGAGGCUCUCUAUAUGGCGCUUUAUGUCUAUUCGUGUGGUGUCCGCUAUUGCCUGUUUCUCAGAAUUGGGGGCCGAGGAGCCUUUCUUGUUGCUGCCUCUUCCCAUAUUCUCUGUUCCUUAUAUAUGCAAGCUUAUAUAAGAGGCCCAGCUUCUCUCCCAGUCAGCCACAGCCUGAUCGAAUUGUGCCAGUUAGGUAUUCCUGCUCACCGCUGCGCACCAAGGAGUUACGGACCAGGCAGUCUACGCGUCGCUCCUCCCGGGCACCGUCAGGCUCUGGGAUCUGGGUUGGGACAGCCUACCAGGUCCGCUGGCAGCGUCAAGCAGGCCAGGCACUUUUCACCAAUCCCGCCCGAGAGGGGGAUGUGUGGCUGGAGUCGCCACCGCACCCUGCUCCCGCAGGACUGCUCGGGCCCAGAAAGUCCUCCGCUGGAGUCAAACUGUGGUAGAGUGUCAGUUUCUCUCACUCCCCUCACCACAAGUCAGUGCACGCCUGCCUGCCCGUCCUGUUUUCAACUCUGUUCGCAGAUUGCUGUUCUCAGAGCUUCCGCGUGUCUCUCUCCUUGCCGAGCCGAUGUAGAGGCAGCCAGCCGCCGCGCGGCGGGAAACCCAAACUGUGGCUUCCAAUGGCACGGGGUCCAGCCUCCACACCGAGGCUUUUCUGUUCCUGUUUUAGCACCAGGACUGCAUUCCAAGUUGGUUUCUCUCAGCCCAGUUCGUUCCUGAGUCAGCAGAGCAUAUCUCCACCUGCUUAUAUCUCCUUAGUCUGCACCAUUCCUGGCUUCUGAGCCGAGUCUUUCAGAGAGCCUCCGGUAGUUGCUGUUAUCUGUCUGCCAUGUUCUCCCGUAGUCUCUGCCUUGAAUCUUUAUAUGUCCUUUCUUAUGCUAGUUUUGGGUUUAGAUUUUUCUUGUCUUUCUAAGACAUUGCGUUGUGUAUCAUUAGUUUAUUUAAGCUUGCUCUGUUUUUGUGAUGUGAGAAAUCACAGCUAUAAGCUUCCCUCUUAGGGCUGCUUUCAUUGUGUAGCAUAAUUCCUAGUAUGUUGUACUGGCAUUAUCAUUUAGCUCUAGAAACUCUUAUUUCUCCCUUGAUAUCUUCUGAAACUCAUUGUUUAGUUAAGAGUAUUGUUUAGUUUUCAUGCAUUUGCGUAAUUUUCAUAGUUUCUUUUGUCAUUGCUUUCUAACUUCAUUGCAGUAUGGUAUGUCAACCAGCUUAGUUCGUUUACAUAUACUUAAGGCUGACUUACUCGCUAGUAUGUGGUCUACUUUGGAGAAAAUUCCUUGUGAAAUGAAUUUUAUUCCGUUGUUAUUGAGUGAAAAACUACAGACAUCUAUUAAGUCCAUUGUUUGAAGCUUUUUUGCCCACUUAGGAUAUUUCUUUGUUGAGUUUUGCACUAGUUCUAUCACUUUGGCUAAUCAAGUAUUGAGGUUCAUUAAUAUAGUUGUGUUUGUAUGUUUGCUCUUUUAUGUCCAGUAGUACUUGUUUUAUAAAGUUAAGUGAGCCAUUAUUUAGUUUAUGCAUGUUAAUGUUAUCUCUUCCCUUGGAUUGUUCUCUUAACCAAUAUGUGAAAUGCUUUCUGUCUUGGGCACAGAAAAGUGUUAAACAACGUUAGUAUAACAGUAGAUCAAAAACAUUAUAAUAGACAAGACUGUUGGUUUUUUUCCCCCCUUUUGUUCAUUUUGGUUUUUUUGAGACAGGGUCUCAUUUUGUAGUCCAGGCUCUCUUUGAACUCUGUAGAGUUCUAGGCGAUUUUUCUGCCUCAGUCUCCUGAAUGCUGGGACUACAGAUAUGUGCCACCAUGCCUGGCUAAGGCCUGUUUAUUUUUAUGGAGAUAUGUUUGCUAACACACAUAAUUAAAGUGUACAGUUUGGUGUUGUAGCUAUGAAACUGUAUGUGUAAACCAUGUUGAUAUAUUUAUCCUUCAAGUCAUCACUAUGGUCUAAUGGUUUCCUUCUAACAUGUUCUGAUUUCUCUUUCUGCUCUCCCAUCCCCCAGGCAACUAUUGAUUUGUUAUCACUAUUGAUUAACUUAUGUUUUCUCACAUUUCAUAAAUGGAUUAUUCAAUUUACACUACAUUUUUUUUUUUACUUUCUAUUCUCAGCAUAGUAAUUCUGAGAUUCAUCCAUGCUGUUACAGAUAUUUAUAGUUAACGCCUUCUUAUUUCUGAGUGGUAUUCUAUUACGUAGAUAUAUUAUAAAUUGUUUACUUAUUUGAGUUGGGGGCCAUUUCGCUGUUUCCAAUUUUGUGGAAAUAUUUUAGUAGAUAGGUGCUUUCUUUUCUCUUCAGUAAACAAUCAUAGUCCUUAUAUUUAGAUUUAAACCUGUGUUUUAAGAAACUAUCAACAUCUCCAUUAUUACAGAUGGGUUUGCCUAACUUUUUUAGAGCGGGCUUGAACUUGGAGUCCUCAUGCUUCAGCUUCCUAGAGUGCUGGAAUUAUCAAUUUAUGCUACCAUACCUAUAAUUUAAACCUGCAUAUUUAUUUCUGCAGCUGAAUUUGAGGAGAACUGACAUCAGUGUUUUCCAAAGUAAUAAUGUCAUGUUACAUUCCCAGCUAUGCUUCAGUUCUUCUACAUCCUCAUUGAUAUAUCAGCUUUUAAUUUUAGUCUGAUAGACGUGUGCUGCUAUUUCAUUGUGCUGUUAAUGUUCAUUUUCCUAAUAACUAAGGACUCUAGGCAUAUAAUUUUCAUGUGCUAUUAGCUGCUUAUUUACCUCCAUUGAUGAACUAUCUGUUCACAUCUUUUGCUUAUUUUUAAAUUGGUCUUUUUAUUAUUGAAUUUUGAAAGUUUUCUAUAUCUUCACGUUGCAAUUCUGUCCAGUUUGUGUUUUACAGAUACUUUCUUUCACUUUAAUAUUUUGAGUUUCUUAAAAGCAUCUUUUGUAGAAAACUCUUUCUUUUAAAUUGUAUUUUAAAGAGAAAAAAAUAAAAAUAACAUUAAAAUAGUUUCAAAACAAGCUAGCUUGUAGGAGAGUAAUAAUAGUUAAUACAUUAUGUAUUGUUAUCAUCAUAGUGGUUAUUCACAGUAUAAGAUACAGGCUUGAAAUAUUGUCCAAACAAUAUUAGCACAAACCUUUCUCUUGAAUGAACUAAGAGAAACUAGCUGUGUAACUAUCGUAACUGUCUUGUGUAUCUAUUUUUUUUCCUAUUGCCUGCCUUCCUUUCCCCUUUCUUUCAUCAUAGUUUGUCUUUUUUUUUUUUUUUUGAACAGUUUCUUUCCUACUCACAACAUCUAUUAUAUCAUUUGGAUCUUAUUUACUUGUUCAGUUUCUCACACUAAAAACAUUUUUUUGCUUUAGUGAAGUACAUUUAUAAUGCUUUCUUAUUUAUCAUUGUAGUUGCUUUGUGGAUCAUGCUUUUGAUAACCUGUCUGAAAAAAAUCUUUGCCUAAUGCAGGCUCAUAUAGUUUUAAAAUUUUUCUUUCAAAAGUUUUAUAGCUUUAUAUUUUACAUUAAUUGUAAAAGCCAUUUCAAAGUAAUUUUUGUAAGUGACUCAACAGAUGAAUUCAUUUACAAUGAAUAUCCAAUUAUGCCAGCAUCAUUCUUUAGAAGGAUUUUUAUUGAAUUAAUUACCUUUGCAUUUUUGUUUAAAAUUUUGUUCUUGGGGCUGGGGAUUUAGCUCAGUGGCAUAAGUACCUGCCUUGCAAGCAGGCAGUCAUGAGUUCGAUCCCCGGUACCGAUAAAAAGACAAAAAAAAAAAAAAAAAAAUUUUGUUCUCCACACACACGUGUCCCUUUUUUCCCCUGGACUUUUCUUCUGUUAAUCUCUGGCAUCUUUCUUUGAACACCAUAUGGUUUUGAUUAUUGUAGUAUAAUAGUAAGUAUUAAAUCAGGUAGUAUUAGUUUUUCACCCUUAUUCUUUUGCAGAGUUGUUUUGAAUUUUAGAUUGCAUGUGCUAAUUUCUAGAUAAAAACCUCCUGGGAUCUUGAUUGGAAUUAUUUAAAUCUGCAACUGAAUUUGAGAAUUGACAUCAAUGUGAUAGUCUUAUCAAUCCACGAAAAAUAGUAUCUCUACUGUUAUUUGUGCCUAUUUACUUUCACUCAGCAGUGAUUGCAGUUAUCAUUGCAUGUUUGGGCAUCUUCUGAAGUUACCCAAAGAUAUUUCUUGGUUUUGAUGCUCUUGAGUUGAAAAUAUUUUUACUUAAACUUUUCAUUGUUUUAUUGCUGGUGCAUAAAAAUACAAUUUAUUGUUUAUAUUGAUCAUUGUAAUCUUGUUUCUCUUAGUUACUCUGUCAGAAGUAGUAUUUUUGUAGAUAGAUUUUUUACAUUUAUUUUCCUUUUUGGGAGUUAGGUGAUUGAGCCUAAGGCCUUCAUGGAGCUCCAUCUUCAUUAUUUUUUUUUGGUCUUUUUCCUUUUUAUCGGUACCAGGGAUCGAACUCACAACUGCCUGCUUACAAGGCAGGCGCUUAUGCCGCUGAGCUAAAUCCCCAGCCCCCCAUCUUCAUUAUUACAGAUGGGUCUGCCUAACUUUCUCAGAGUGGUCUUGAACUUUGAAUCCUCAUGCUUCAGCUUCCUGGAGCGCUGGAAUUAUAGGUCAUACCAGGCUUACUUUCCUUCUUAAUCUAAGUUUUCUUAAAAAUCAAUUUCUUUUUCUUUGCCUAUUUGCACUCGAUAGAAUCUCCUGUAUAAUGCUGAAUAGGAACAGAAAGUAUAAAUCAUUUUCCUGAUUGUAAUCUUAUGGGGAGGACACACAUCCAGCAUGCAGUUCUUCAUAAUUAAAUAUGACAAUACCUGAAUUUUUUUCAUAGAUGACUUUAAUCAGAUUAAAAUUCUCUUUUAUUCAUAGUUUAAAAAAGAAUAUUCAUCAGGAAUGAUUGUUAGAUUCUGUCGAAGAGUUUUUUCUCUGUUUAUGGAGGUCAGUGUUUUUAGCUUAGCUGGUAGAUAGUUGGUGGUCAGUAUUUUAAUUUAGUGUCUUUGGAUAGAUAAUUUUGCAUUCCAGGGAUAAACUUUUGUUUAUGAUGUAUUCUUUUAAUAUAUCACUAAACUUAAUUUGGUAAAAUUUUGGCUAAGAUCUUUAUUUCUACAUUCAUAAGGACAAUGUUUCAUAGUUUUCUUUUUUUUUUUUUAUCGGUACCGGGGAUCAAACUCAAGACUACCUGCUUGCAAGGCAGGCACUUAUGCCACUGAGCUAAAUCCCCAGCCCCCAUAGCUUUCUUUUAAUGUUUGAAAUUCUGGUAUCAGGAUACUAGUAGCCUCUUAAAAUAAGUGAGAAAGAAUUCUUUCUCUUCAAAACAUAAGUAGUUUAUGUAAAAGUAAUUAAUAUUGUUUCCAUGACUGUUUGGUAGAAUUCAGUAGUUGAACUAUAUAGACUUUGAAGUUUCUUUAUUGGAAUUUUGUAAAAUUAGAAAUUCAGUUUUAAAAACUAUUUAGAGCUAUGUUUAUCAUUGUAGUUGUCCAGUUUGGUAGGAUGUUUUGGAUAUGUAUAGGAAUGUCACUUCUCUUGUUCUUGAUAUUGGUAAUCUCUUUUUCUUUCUUUUUCUCUCUAACCCUUUCUUUUGUCUUUUUCUUAAGCUUUUCUUUAGAUUGUCUUUUUGAUUUGUUGAUUUUUCUCUACUUUUGUGUUUAUUUUCUUUUUGUUGUGAUUAUUUUUUCUUCUACUUUUAGUUUGUUCUUUUUCUUAAAGUCUUUGAUGCUAGACUUUUUGUCCAUUAAAGUAGUCCCAUAAAUUUAACCUUAUAUUCAACAUAUGAUAGCAGCAUUAAACAUAUUUAGGAAUAUUUUAAAAAUCUUUUGAAUAAUGAUUUCUAAUUUAACUCCAUUGAGAAGGCACAUGCUAUAUGAUAUGAAUGCUUUUUAUUUAGUGAAAUUUGCUUUGUGGCUGGGAAUAUAAUCUAUUUUGGAGAAUGUUCUGAGUAAGUACACUUGAGAAGAAUAUAUGUUCUGCUGUCAUUUGAUGUUCUGUUUUAGAAAUGUCAUUUAGGUUAAAUUGGUUGAUAUUUUUGAAGUCUGACGUAAGUUUACUGAUUUGCUGUCUGCUUGUCCUAUCAUUUAUUGAGAGAGGGGUAUUGAACUCUGUGAUCUUAAUUCUUUCUCUGGUUUUAGAUAGUUUCCUUACAGGCAUGCAAUGAUUAGUUUUCUGUAAAAUUCUUGCAAGCAACCCCCUACACCUCUCUUGUGUCCUUUCUCUGAAGAGCCAUCUCUUUUUCUAGCACCUUCUUCAAUUAGACAUUUAUAUCCAUCUCAUUUCAACUCAAAAGUGUGUUGGAAUAUGGCUAGAUUCCCCUUCCCUGUAAUGUGGGCUAUAAAUUCUCUUAAUACAAUGAGAUGAGGAAAUUGUAGGAGUCACCUUAUUUGUUUCUUACUUCUCAGCGAUGUUAUUUUGUUACCUUUUGAUGAGUGUCUUAAAAGAACAUUGCUUUAUUCAUUUUUGUCUGUUGUUUUGGUUUUCAUUUGUAGAAUAUGUGACAGUUACCUUGCCUUGACCAGAAGCUGUAAUUCUUGACUGACUUAUUGCACAGCACUAUCUGAAUUGUUAGAAGUGCUGAGUAACUUGUAAUAUAGUAUCAGGAAAUUCACAAUCAAACAGGAAAACAGACACAAGUAAUGAUAAUAUAUAAUAAAUUUGGUUCCAGCUUUAGUAUUAUACAUGAAAUGAUAGAGAAUUAUUUUUGUGUAGUUCUGUAGGGAAACAGUGACCUUCAAGCUGGGUUUUGGAUGAUAAAUUUUGGCAAAUGAAAAAUAAACCCUGGUCAGGCAUGGUGGUACACACCUAUAAUCCCAGCAUUCAGGAGGCUGAAGGAGGAAGAUUGCUGUUAAUCCCAAUCUGGACUACAUAGUGAGUUCAAGACCAACUUGAACUCCAUAGAGAGACCUUGUUUAAAAAAAGAAACAAAAGAAAAAAAAAAAAAAAAAAAAGGAAGACUUUGGCAUACAUCUUUUGUUACGUGAAUAAGUCAUCCAACCUUGGAGGUUUCUCAUCUAAUACUUACACAAAACUAUAAAAAGGCCGCUUAAUACUUCUAUUUCAAAAUGUAAUAGAUCUGGGGAUUUAGCUCAGCAGCAUAAGCGCCUGCCUGGCAAUUGUGAGGUUGUGAGUUUGAUCCCUGGGACCAAAAAAACCCCAAGAUAAACCAAAAAAAAAAAAAAAAAAAAAAAAAAAAGCCCAGGAAUCCAAAAUGUAAUAGAACUUCUACAUGUUGCCAAUGGGAGUGCAUAGUGGAAUGUAAGUGGGAAAACUGUAUUGCACUUUUUCAUAGGUGCUAUGUAACUUAGCAAUUCUACUCUGAGAUACUUAAUUGAAGUGAAUUACUAAGUGAAAGGGAAUGUAGUUCAUAGAUUAUAUUUGAGUGUUUGGGGCAGACAAGACUGUCUGAUAUAUCCAUAGUAUAUUGUUAAAUGCUAGUCUAACACAUAUACAUAAUACACAUGAUAGCAUGGAUAACAGUAAUGUAAAAGAACAAAUAAUUAAUAUAUGCAGUAGUAGUAUAGAUGAAUAGUAAUAUUAAAGAACAAAUUACUGAUAAUGUGCAAUAGCAUGAAUGAAUCAUAAAUGCAGUAAAUUGAGAAGCCAGACUGUAAAGGGUAGGUAUACAGCAUGAUUAAGAUAUAUAGUGAGUGGGGCUGGGGAUUUAGCUCAGUGGCAUAAGCACCUGCCUUGCAAGCAGGCGGUUGUGAGUUCGAUCCCCGGUACCGAUAACAACAACAACAAAAAGAUAUAUAGUGAGUGCUUGAAUUUAAAGCGAUUAUUAUAGAAAAGAUCCAGGGCCAUUAAUCCCCUCCAAAAUACUCCCCUCUUCUUUCAGAUACACUUAGCCCAUCCUACUUGCAGCUUUCUGAAGCAAUUCUGGAAGUCUUGUUUCAUGAGUAUCUUUACCAGGUGUGAUCAAUGCAGUGAAUGUUGCUGCUGAGUGCUAUGGAGCAGAAAGACAGCCUCAAAAAUAUUACACUGUUUCCUCAUCCACAUUAUUCAGCUGACCUGGCGCUAUGUGCCUUCUGGCUCUUCCUCAAAGUCAAAGUCAUCAUGAAAGAUUGCAGUUUUAAAUGAAUUCAGACAUCCCAGCCCUCAUGACAGCACAACAAAAGAUGUGAAGAAGGGCUUCCAGAACUGCCUCUGAAAUGGCAAGAACAAUGAGGGGUCAGUGUGUUUGAAGAGAGGAAGAAUAUUUAGAGAGGGCCAAUGACAGUGUGUGCUUUACUGUAAUAAAUUUAAAACUUUAAACAUUUACCAUAUUUUUGAUAAUAUCAUAUACUAUAUGAUUCUGUUUGUAUGGCAGUUUGGUGUUGACAUAUAGAAAUAAAUCAUUCAAGUGAUAGUGGAAGUUGAUUGCAGUAAGCUGUAAGAACCAUUUUUUCCUUGUUGGAACUAUUCUGUGUUGUUACGGGAAUAUGCAGAAAAAGAGUUAACGUAAGCCGACUGUUAUUAUAAGGUACACUGUUGGCUGGCAUCAGGAAACUUGAAUGGUACAUAUUUGUCUUGGUCACUUUUCCAAUGCUGGCACACAAUUCGUGGCAUGGCCACUUAAAGGAGGAGGCAUUUAUUUUGGCUCACAGUUUACAGAGGGUUCAGUCCAUGAGUGCACGGCUCCAACACAGAAAAUUCUUGGACAGAACCACUCAUCCCAUGGCACAUAGGAAGCAGAGGGAAGGGAGGACAGGGAAGAGAAAUGCACCCUUCCACAUCAGCUCCCCAGUGAGUCGAUUCUUGUAGCCACACCAUUUGCUAGCAGCACAGUUAGCUCUGAACUUCUCAAUGGGUUAAUCCUCUGGUGGGUGCAGUGCCCCCAAUAUUCCAACUCAUGGGCCUUUUAGGCAGUAUUCUAGAUCAAAACCAUGACAACAGUUUCCUAUAUUGGGAAGAAACUUCCCACAAAUAAUGAGUAACUCAUUGCAUUUCAGUUGUUUGUACUGCCAAUGCAGUUGAUUGUGAACAUUAAUUCAUUUUCUGGUAGACUAAUUGUGAUACAUACUACACAGAGAAUAUCUAAGUGACCAGCUCCAUGGGUCCCAUAAAAACUGUGGGAGCUGAGUGUCUAGUAAGCUUCCUUAGAGGAACUUUCACAUGUUUUCACAGUUCAUUGCUAGAAGAAUUAAACAUUUUCUGAGUAACUCCACAUGUAAAAAAACUCUUAGAAGCCUGUGCCUGGUUUCUCUAGACUUUGCCUCAUGUUCACUUAUGCUUUGUUGAUGUUUUGUAUCAUUUUUCUGUAAACGAUCACAGCAUGAUAAUGACUAUAUAUACUGAGUCCUGUCCUAGUGAGUCAUUGAUGCUGAAGGUAGGCCUGAGUGUCCUGAGCCCGAGGUAUGAAUUUGUCAUAACUGAUAGAAUCAUAUAUGUAGUUGUGGCUUCAAAUAGAAAUCAGAAAUCCAGCUUAUUUAAUUACCUUAUAUUUAUAAAAGUUGUUAGUCCUCUUAAAAUAUCAAGUAUCUAAAUUCAUAAUUAGAAGGUAAUUAUCCCAUGAAUACGUUGGCAUAGAAGGAUGAUUAUAGGUUUUUGACUCAUGUAGUUCUUGAACUUUGAAAAUCAGCUGUUUUUAAAAAAAAUCAGCUAUUUUAUAUCUUUGUAUUCUUGGAAACAUUAUUAACUGAACCUCAGUUUUCUGAACCUCAAAUGGUAAUGUUAAUUCCUGUCUUGUACGUGAUAAUGUUUUAGAAAAGCUUGAGGGGUUAACAACUUAGAAAGAAUCUUUGAGGUACUUUGAAAGAACAAAAUUCUAUAGACUGGUGGCGUGAAAUCCAGAUUGCAUAUGAUUAGAUGGUAUGGAAAUUGAGGUGAAAAAAGAAGUAUGUGAAAAGUUAAUGAUAAACUACUGUGUUUUAGGCUGUAUUUGUAUUAGCUCUGCUUUAUAUAAUGUGUCAAAGCAUAACUAGGCAUUUGUUGAAAAGAGAAGACUCCUGGGUUCAUUCAGAGAUCAGAGCAGCUUUACACUAUUUACUAUGCUAUCUAUGUCAUUUAUGCCCCGUUAUAGUAAUUGAUUAUAAUUACAAGUUAGAGUCAGUGAGAAACUCUUGGUUAUAGAUGCCUGUAGGUAGCCUACCAAUUUGUUUUGUUGACUUCACUUUGCUACAGUUCCAGUAGUAUCAUUAUUACCCUCGCUGUGUGGGAGAAAACAAAUGCAGCAUUCUAGACCUCUUUAAUGCAAGUCCUGAAAUCUGCCUUGCUGUUUUUUCCAUGCCAUCUGUAGCCACACCAGCUUACUCAGUUUAGAAUCCAGUCCUGGCAUCAUGAACUAACAAAUACAUACUGACCCUGAGUGAAAAGAGUGAACCAUUGAUAGGAGACUAUGUAGCUGUCUCUUCUUGCACUUUUGCUUUCUUUUCCUUGUUUAUGCCAAGGAGGGGGUGUCCUAAUUGAAUUGGAAACACAGGGGUUAACGCUAUAAUCAAGGUUGAGAUUUAUUAAUUUAAAAGAAAUCUAUUGUUUUGGCAUUGUAUUUGCUACUGUCCCAAAUUUUGGUAGGCAAUACUGGAGAUUAAACUCAUUUUCAUCCCUUCUCUCAUAAAUCUGAUUUGCUUUUGCCACCUUAAUUUGACUCUGUCUUCCUUAGAUUAUUUUGCCUUCAUAAAUAGUGUCUUUAAAGUUUUUUCUAGAAAUUCAGUGUCUUCGAAAAAGAUCUAGAUUCGUGUCUUCUAAAAAGAUCAACUUCCUCCUAACAAUCACAAUUCCCUUUCACUCACUGAGACUUGUUUUAGCUCUAUUACAUUGUGUUAAAUAAAUUAUACUACAAUAUAAAAAUGAACAAUUAAAUAAAUUUAACUUUCAAGUUAUAGUUUCAUUUUAGCAGAGGAAUUGCCACUCAGAUUAAUUUGCUAAUCUGUAACAUUUUUGAGGGCUUUCCACUAGGCCAGUGCUCUAUCAUUUAUAGAUUUUGAGGUGAAAUACAGAUAAUCAUCUUUGUUAUCAAACUGUACUCCACAUCCUUUGUAUGCUUUUCUUCUUUUUGCCUUUUUUUGCAAGUUUAUUUCAUCUUCGCUGACAGUUCUGACAGCAGCGAUUUUCUACCUCAUCUACAUAUUUUAAUGUGGGACACUAUAAAAAUUACAAGGCUGUCUUCAUUGUGUAGGCAGAGGCACAUUCAGACUAUCUGCUAAUUAUUUUUUCUUUAAAAUGAUUUCAUUGGUCAGGGCAUAUUUUAUCUAUCUGGUGAUUGUUUUUUUCUCUUGAUACAUUUGCUUGUGCUUUAGGAGGGAAUGAGUUGCUAUAACUCUGUAGAGUAGAGACAGUAACCUGUGGUUUUAUGUAGUGCCCCCCACUUUUCACUUUUUAAAUUGGCUCUGCAGAUUAAUGGAUUUAAUUUUGGCAGAUUUGUACAUGCACAUUGAGGUUAGAAUGAUCAAAGUGUUACUUCUUCUAAUACUGAUUUUUAUGAAAAAUAGAAUUUUUCCUUUUUGGUUUCUCUACACCCCAGUACUGGGCCCUCACACUGAGGUGCAUCGCCAGCCAUUUUUCUUUUUCUUCUUCUUCUUUUAAUAUUUUGAGAGAGUGUUUCACUAAGUAGCUAUGUUUCUCAGGCUGGGCUUGACCUUGAGAUCUUCCUUCCUCUGUCUCCUUGAAUGCUAGAAUUACACAAGCAGGUAUUAUGCUAUCAAUACAAUAGUCUAAACUUUCUAGGAAGCUUAACUCUAUAAUUUUAACAAGAGUAAUUUAUCAUGAAGUACAUUAAUUUGUUGUAAUAUGAGCCUCUAGGGGGAAAACCCCUGAAUUUUAGAUUAUACUUUGCUUUGUUAUCUUUCCUGGACUUUGAAGUAUAAUACUUGAUAUUUUAUACUUUGAUUGCUAUAUAUACACGCACUCACAUUAUAUCAAAUCCUGUGUAAUUUGAAAAUGUUAGAGAAAACAUGUAACAUGUAAUAGAGUUUAGUGGAUUUAAUUAUAACUUAUGAUAAUAGGAUUAUUCUGAGAUACAUUUCUACAAUUAUAACUUAUGAUAAUAGGAUUAUUCUGAGAUACAGUUCAAGGAUUUAAAAUAUAGUAUGAUAUGAAUAUUAAGACAGUUCUGAUAUUAUCCUAUAAAAUAAUUUUGUGAAAAUUUUAUGCACAAAAGAUACAUAUUUUUAUUUUUAAAGGUUUUUCUGCUUGUUGUUUACCUACAUAAAUCCUUUGCCAUUAAAUUGUGUCAGGUUCAGGGAAUGUACUACGUUCUUCAUCUGGAAAUUUUAUAUUCUGAGAGAUUUUUUUUAAGUUCUCAGUCUUGAAGUACUUCUGCACGUACAGUAUUACAAUAACUUGGUAAUAGCCAAUUGGGAAGGCAAGCUUGUAUAGUAAAAAAAUAAAGAUUUGAGCAGCUUUUUGUCUGUAGGGCUGUCAUUAUGAUAGGGAUGUGUUAAAUAUCCAUUUGAAAGAACAAUCCUAAUAUGGAAAGGAUUUAUGUGUUUCAUAUACCUUUUUUAGGAAGUAUUGCUCUUCCAGAAUAAGGUCAAGAUAGACCUCUGAUCAGUAUCAGAAGAAGAGGGGAAUCUAUUUUCAAACUUUUUUAGAAUCCAAUUGUUUUUGAGAGUACAAUAUCUGUGGAGUAUCGAUCGGAGGGGUCCCAUAGUUAGUCAAAGGCUAUCUCCUUUGACUCACCCCUUAGCGUGGUGUCAUCCUCUUUCAUGUGAUAGAUUGUUACAAUCUCAGGCAGUGUAAUUACACACUAGCCAAGUGGGCUAUUUAUUUCUUUACCUUCACCAUUUACCAAAAAUCUCCUUUAUCUUUGGGAGCCAGAUCUUUCUUUUGCAGUAAAAGCGAAAUAAUAGCACAUAAAACAUUAGAUGUGAGAACCAAGCUCCUUAAAAUUAUUAAGACAAUAACAUUUUAAAAUGCAAACUGUUACAUGCAUUACUAACAUGGUGAUAAACAUAUGUAAAGCAUUUAGAAGAGUGCUGGACUUAAGUAAACAUAACCUUUUACUGUGUGUCUUUAUCAUUAUUAAGAUAAAAAAUUAAAUUUUUAAUAUUUUGGGGAAAUGAAACAGAAGUACUUUGCCUACAUAUAGACAUCAUGUUAAAUUUUUCCAUAGAAUAGAAAUGAUGGAAGGAUGACAAAUUUGAUAAUUAAGCCACAUUGGUUGGGAGCUAAAUUAUCUUUUUCUUUCAUUGUAUGCAUUUUAAAAUAAAUAAUAUUGAGUCUUUCAAUUUAUGUAUAAACAUAGUUUUAAAGAUUCUUGCUUAUCAGAAAUAAGUCAUGAUAACACUAAAAUUAUAACCAUGGAGGUUAUUGCUAAAAAAAUCUUGUCUACUUAAAUAAAAGAAGCAUUUUGGCAUAAUUAAUUUUUGUUAGUAUUGUCAAAUUGUAUAUUAUUGUGUAUAGUGUGGUAAUUAUUUGUAUACAAGGCAUAGUGAUCCUAUUAGAGUGGUUAGCAUUUCCAUCUCUAACAAAUUUUUUUGACUGAUGUGUAAUAAUUGUACAUAUCUAUGGGGAACAUUGUGAUAUUUGUUUAUUGGGUACUGGGAAUUGACAGUGUGAUAUUUCAAUACGUAUAUACUAUGUGUGUUCAUUUCCACCUCUUUAUUACUACUUUGUUUUAGUCUUCAAACUCCUUUUUUCUAUUUACUUAUAAAAUGUAUAACCGAAUUUGUGAACUAUGGUUAUUCCACUGUGCUGUAGAACACUACAACUUGCUCCUUUUUUCUGUAUUUUGUCCAUAAUUAUUAAAUAAUACUUUAUAUUGUGUUUUCUUUUAAAGUACAACUUAAGCUUAAAUUUUUCUUUACUUAAAAAAGCCAAGAAACUUUUCCUUUAUAAGUGGAGUCUGUCUUUGAAACUGCUGUCCAGCUUUUCCUGAUUUUAUGUAUUUGUUCACAUGAUUCUUCCCAGUUGUGUUCCUCCUUAAGUUUUGUCUCAGACUUUCUUUUCAUCAGGAGCCAACAGUGAAUAGAAAAUUUUUCUUGUAUCUGUGAGCUUUUGCGACACUUGGGGUCAGCAUUAUUUGUUUUGAUUGUGUGUUAUAGGUUUGGCUUUUUGUAUCCUUAUCUAUUCCAGUCAAAUUAAUUAACAGUUCUUUAAGGGGAGAAACUAUUUCUAUUCAUCAUAUAUUCACGGUACCUUUUAUAUACAAUACUAAUUUCUUUAUUUAAUUAGUAAAUAUUUGCAAUAUUUAUUAUUUCACUGUUUGCAGCAGUCUUCUAAGUACUGGAUACCUAGUAGCAAAUAAAACAGAAAUCCCUGCCUUCUUGAGUCUUACCUUUUAGUACUCACUAAAUGUUUAUUUAGUACUACUUAAUUUUGUACUCAUUUAGUACUCACUAAAUGUUUAUUUAGUACUAUUUAAUUUUGCAUUGUUUGUCUUGUGUGAGAAACUGAAAGUGUAAAUUAGGACCAAAAUGGUUAAUAGAUAGUGGGAAAUAGGAAAAAAAUAUGCAAAUGGGGAGGGAAAAAAGAGUGGGGUGGGGAGAUGGAAGGAAGGGAAAAGAAAAAAUGAAUAGAAAUGGAAACAAAGCUUUUAUAAAUAUGGAGAGAAAGUAGGGUUGAACAGGAGGGGAGAAAAACAGAAAAAAAGAAGAAUCAAGGUAUAUUAUGUGCAGGUACAAUCUCCAUAUGAUGCAUUUGAUCAUUAUGUAUAUCAAAAGAGAACCAAUAAAAUUAUUUUUAAAAAGACAAUUUGAGUGGUUUCUGUAACAGGAAUUUCUUUGUAAGUGAUAUAAGCAUUUUCAUAGAUUGUUUUAUUUCAAAUAGUAUGUGGCUGCUGUGGAAGGUAAUUUCAUAGUUUCUUGUGCAGGUAGAAAUCAUACAGUUAAGCCAUCCUGUAAGUCCUGCAAAAUAUGCUUGUUUUGUAGGAAAAGAAAUGACAAACUUUGAAGACUAGGUUUAUAUAAUCUUUAGAGGUGAAAAAUAGGAGAAAACCCCCUAGCAGCGUACAAAGAGAUACACAAACAUAAUAAGCCUUGAGAAGUGACUGUCCCUGAGAAGGGUGUUUUAUACACUUAAUCAUUUUGCAGAUAAAUGAAAAUGAGUGGUUUAGCUAAUGUUUUUACUUGAAAUUGUACUUCUUUCACUUGAGAGGCAUGACAAAUGAAGAGACAUCCGAAGGGGAGAAGGGAGAGAGGACUGAAAACAGGAAUGAAGGAACAAGUGGAAGGAAGGAAAAAAGGAAAGAAAGGAGGAAGUCCACACAUAUUGAGGACAAAAACAAACAAAAACCUCCCAAAACAAAAACAAAAAACAGGGGCUAAGGAUUUAGCUCAGUGGAGUAAGUGCCUGCCUACUCUCUCCCAGAGUUCCAAUGAUUUUUGUGGAAGGAUUACAACAUUGAUUACUUUUAUUUAUUGUAAGUAGAAGUAGAGUAUUUUUCUUAGUCUUUUAGUCUAAUAGUGUAAAGUAUUAUGGUAUGUAGUACUGAUGUUAAUGGCAAUUAAUUUCAGUUUUCACUGUUGUGAAUUUUAUUUCAUACAGAAUUUUAGUAUAAACUUCUAUUCAAAUAGUUGCAAUUUAUUAUCUGACCAGAAUCUUCUACAGUAAACUUUUGGCAUGAGUGGGUCUGUACAAUUUAUACAUCUUAUAUUUGUAACCUUUCACUGAGUAUUGUGGUUUUUAAAAUUAAGAAUAUAUUUGCAAUGUUUUUCAGUUUCUAGUUUCAGAUUCCUUAUUAUAUUUGUAGCUGUGAUUUAGGUUGUAGUACUUUAUGGGUGCUACGGUAAACAGAUUGUUGGGCCUUAAGAUUAGAAGGAUCUGAUUUUGAUUGUCAGAAAUCUUAGGUAUAGGGGCCAAGAUAUUUGGCCUUACUUUGUCAACCAUUUUUAUGUUGUUCAGCCAGCAGUGACUUAGGAACCGUGUUUCGGUAAGGUGAUCUCAUCAUCUGUAAAUAGGUGAGUGCUGGAAAAGAGUAUGGAGAAUGUGUAGGUGGGUGAUAUUUUAGUGUUCAAGAAAGAGAAGUGCCUGAACUCAUAUAGUAGUAGAAGAAUAAAUGGUUUUAUGUAAGAGAAGUGGCCAAAGCUGUAAAAAAAGAACUUAGAUUAGGCCAUUAAGAAGAUAAUAACAUUUUUAGGACUAUGUGGGUAGCAUGAGGAAAGUGGAUGCUAGAUUGUAAUAAGGUUUAGGGAAUAAGCAAAUGGUUAAUAGAGGAAAGAGAAAGGAUCCCCCUUUUUUUUUUUUUUUUUUUUUGUCUUUUUCCUGGUACCGAAGAUUGAACUCACGACUCCUUGCUUGCAAGGUAGGUGCUUAUGCCGCUGAGCUAAAUCUCCAGCCCUGAGAAAGGAUCUCUUUCAAGAAAUUGAUGAGGUGGUAGAAAACAGAUUGCUGUACUUCAAACUGCAGUGCAGUGAGUUCCUUCAGUAGAUAAACUCCUCAUUAAAAAUAAAUACAGACCUUGUAUUCUGAACUCCUCAACUCUUUGCCAGUGUCCCUAAACUUAUUAUGUCUCAUUUUCUAAACCGGUAAUAAAAUUCUUGUGUCUGACCUUUAUUCAUUGAGUAGUUUUCUGUAAUGGACUUUCCUAGUGAGAUGAAUGGGUUUCUUUCCUGAGAAGUAUGCGCAUAACAUUUUGCUUACUUGGGGAUCCUUGUUUUUUAUCAUCAAAAUUAAUUGCAGAUUUUCAUCUAUUAAUAUGAUCUGCAGUAAGAUUUAAUGUAAUUCAUUUUGGAAAAUGUCUUCACACACAAAAAUAUUGUCAAAAACAAUAUUGUAGGUCAUGGGGAUAUGAUGUUAAUUGAGCAUAUUUAGCUCUCAGAAAACAUAAUUGACAUUUUUCUUAAAUUUUAUUUUUUAAGCACAUUACUGCAUUGUAGAUUACUUUCAAUUAAAGAUUGUGUGAAAACUUCUCAUUUACAAAGUAAAAGGUAAAAAUUUUCUUUGCCUUCUCUUUGUGUCUGAAAAGUACUUGGGGAACUGGAUUUUGCUUUAGAAAAAUGUAUCAGUUAUAACUUUUAUAGCAAUUUGUGGUCUUAGUUUUAUCUUUUAAUAGCAUAGAAAAUAAAAGAGCUUGAUACUUCUUAUGGUUCAAACAGUUUUGUCAUCAAAAUGACUUUACUACAAUUUAGUUUACUUCAGUUUAAGACAUUACUGUGUCAGACAAAAGCCAACUUCUGAAAUUCAGUGUUUGAUAAUAAUUCUUCUUGUCCAAAACAAAUUUAAUCUCUGUCUUAAGGUUUAAAAACGUGACAAUAAAACUUCAACACAUUAAUCUUUUAAAUGCCUUACAGAGAGGAAGUUAGUGUAAUUGCCUUGUAGUUUUGGCAAAAUCCACGAGAAUAAUGAUGGUUAAGUCCAUGAAGGUAAACCAGGUCACCAUGGUCCACCAAGUUCAGUAGCACGAUAGCCUCACAACAGAUGUUUUGCAGAGUACCUGCUAUUGAAUAAUACAGACAAAUACUUUGUAUCUCUAUAAGCUUUGUAAAUUGCCCAGCUUUUUUUCUGUUUCACACAUAUUUGUGCCACCAUCAUUUGUGAAACAUUUUUGCAGAUCGAUUCUACUUUAGGUGCUACUAAAUUCCUGUUCUCUUAACUCUGAAAAAAAAUCUCCAUAUAAUUGCUUCAUGUGUACUAUUCACAGAGCCUAACUAUUCAGUAACUUCACUGUCAUUAUUGACUCCUUGAAACAGCAACAAGUAGUGAAAGGCAGGCAGAGGUAACAUUUGUUGGCUCUUCAAAAAACAUUUGAAAACAUUAGCCUUGUUUUUAAUUGCCUAUUCAUAUUGCUCCCAGUGUCAUCAAUUCUUUGAGUAACUGUUCUCUCUGGAAGGCUAUAAUUUUCUUACAUACCCCCCCCCCCGCAGUGAUUCUUCAGCUGCCAAAUCAAACUCGAUUUAAUCAACUCACUAUCUGUAACCAACUUUCCUCACAUCGCUAACAAAUGAGCUGUUCAUUCAGAAACUUACUUUGAUUUGAAGCCUCAUUUCCAGUUUUAUUUUUCUGAAAUAUUGUUGUGAUGAGAUAAUUGGUUUAUUCUGAUUUUUGACUUGCUUUCCCAUGCUUUGGCAAUAUUAUAAAGAGUGCUCUAUCUGGUAAUUAUAUAUAUUGUCUUCUUUUAUCAUCGACAUAGUGGCUCUGCAUAAUAAGCAAAAUCAUUCAGCUGGAGCUGUAGCUCAGUGGAUGAAAGCUUACAGUGUUCCAUUCCCAGCACUCCAAAAAACAAAAACAAAAAAUGUUUGCUGUUUAAUUAUAGAACAAAAUAAUGCAUACUCCACUAUGCCUUUGAAAGUAACACUUUCAAAGUCCUCUUUUCUAUUUUUGGGUACAUACUGUAAAGAUAAAAACAAAAGUGAUACGGCAGUUAGGUAUCACAUUGGAAACACUUAUGUCAUAAUUUACAUCACUGUCAUCAUAGUGUGCCGAGCAUCUGUAUUGAGUGAGGACUGUUAUUGUGGUACAAAAUUAGCUAGAUACAGAAAAAAAAUAUCAAAGAGUAUGAUUGUUUCAAUAAAACUUUAUAUGGAAAUCAUAAUUUUUAAAAAAUUUAAAAAUUUUUUAAAAAUUUGAAGGUAGUAAAACUACAACAGCUCAAGACAGAACAAAGCCGAUCGAGACAAUGCAGUGAAGUUGGUACAGAACUUCACAGCAGGGUACUGGGAUAAGUAAUAACAGGUAUUAUACUGUAUCUCAUUAUCUUCACAAUAGUUCUCCUAGUCUUAUAAAUUUUCAUAUUAUAAACUCUAUUUUUGAGGCUGGGAAUUUAGCUCAGUGGCAUAAGCGCCUGCCUUGCAAGCAGGCACUCAUGAGUUCGAUCCCUGGUACCGAUAAAAACGAAAAAGACAAAAAACAAAACAAAAAACAAAACAAAAAAAACCCCCAAAACUGUAUUUUUGUUUUUAAAAUGAUCAAAAAUUUAAGAGUCAUUUUUAGCUCAUAAGCUAUUCAAAAAAGUUUUUUGAUUUCUCUAUGAGUCUCCUUAGUGCUCCUUUAAUCCCUUUCCCUGAAAUAUCCCAGAUUUUAGCUGAACUCAGCUACUCUACCGUACAAAGUUGUCAGUGAUCUGAUCUCAGGUUGCUCUGAUUGCUGGGCUGCUUGCUAGCAGAUGAAUACACUAACAUUCUCCUAUCUUACAGCUUACGUUCUACAUGCCAUACUGUUUUACCUGAGUAUUAGUCUACUCGACACCUGCCUUUCUUCUAGCUCUUUACUCACGUAUCACCUUUUCCCACCCCUCUCUGACCAGCCUUUCCAAUUCAGCCUUUUCUUAUCAUCCAUGUAUUUCCAUCACUGUUUUACCUUGCACUGACAUACCAUUAUUUUUUGUAAGUUUUAUAUAAUUUUAGUAUAUAUUUUACCAUUAGUUGUUCUUUAUUUUACUGACUGGUAUAUUCUCAGAAUUUGACAUAUGGUACUCAGUUCAUGUUUGUGGGAUGAAUAAAAGAACUCUUCAAGAGUCUCUACAUUUGCAAAAUGGAAUGUGUAUUCAGAGCAGCUCUUUUUUCUUUUCAUUCAGAUACAUCCCUUUACAUGGACUGAUUGUGGGUGAAGAUUGUUAUUUGAAAGCUUUUCAGGGUGGAUGAAAGGGAUGAUAGUUGGAUUGUCUGAUCUUUAAAUUUCUCUUUUAAGAUAUUCUACAAAUUGUUCUCUGGGCUCAAUAAUCAAUACAGGUCCUGUACAAAAACAGGAUUGUGCAUUUAUUUGAAAAUAUAUUGUGUUAAAGUUACAUUUAAUAGUUAUAGAAACAUAACAUUACAUUUAUUUUUACAUUGCUUUAUGAUCUGAACAUCCCUUGAGAAUAACUAUUCUGUGUUAUUUGUAAUUAUAACGAAUAGUGAACUUGGGCUAUAUGAAGUGUCUAUCUCAGUAAGUUUAAUACCCUGUAACUUGUUGCCUUAUUGAUAUGGGUUUCUAUUUGAAUUUAUUUGACUAUAAAACAAUAAUUUUUAUGAAAUCUUGAUAUUGCAUUUAACUGAAAUAAUAGCUUUUCUUUAGUGUGAAAUAUUUUAAGCAGAGUAAAAUAACAGUUUUUUUGUGAUUUUUUUUAUUAUAUGCUACCAUGUUUUGUAUAACCUUUUAUUAUACUGUUUUAUAUGAUGUUUGUUUAACUUAGAAAAUGAAAUACAUAUUUUAAAAUACAGUGUUAAUUUAUGGAAAAGCACAUUACAUUUCCUUUUCUUUCAUAAAAUUCUAAAACUUUUAAAAAAUCAUUUUUCUACCGUUCUUUAAUGACCUUGUAUUUUAUAUCUAUGACCUUUUCUCAGUUAUCUAGCUUUUUGCAGGAGAAAAUACCAUGUAGAAAUACUAAACAAAGUGAAAUAUCACAUAAUAAUCCACAUUUUGAAACAUACAUAAAAUUUACAUAUGAAUGUGUUCCUAGUGCUUUUGUUUGUUUUGUGAAUUGUUUGUUGGUGUCUCUUGGUGCCUAAGUGGAAUUUUGUAUUUCAUGGUUAGCAUAUUUUACUAAUCAAAAUGUCUAAACUAAUUUUAAUCUAAAGCCUAGAGCAUUAAAUAUUGUUUGUAUUAUAUAAUGCAUUGCUGUGAAUCACAUUUGAUUCAGUGUUUUAAAAUAUGACAGUGUCACAGAAUAAUUUCUCAAUGAAUAAAGUUUAAUAGCAAAUGCUAUCUAAUGUGUAAUUAGAUAAACAUUGAUAUUAACCUUUAUUCAUGAAAAGGCAGUAAUAGCCUAAUGCUUCGCUUAACUCUGUACUUUCAUGAUGAAUUACUUGAGCUGAUAAAUUAUGCAGUCUUGCAUUUUGACCUUUAACCCUUUAGAAUGUACUAAAAUUGACUCCAUAUUACUUGCCACAUUAGAACAUAAGAACGGUAAGCAAUUCCUAUAUCCUAAACUGAUUGUUCCAAGUAUGAAUAUAAAGAAGAGUGCAUAAAAGUAUUGACUAUUACAAUGUGAUAGUUUCAGAUGAACUCAAACGUUAAAGGGCUAGAAUUUUUUCAUCAUUUUUCUUUGCUGCAAAGAGAAAAGUAGGCAAUUGAAGGCUUGCUUGAACAUUUACUCUCCUGUUUUGAAGGGUGCAAAGUUACUUAGAUUCUAUUUAUUCUAUUCUAUAUGAUUGUUAAGACUAGCCAUAGAAUUCUGUCAUGAAGUAGAUUGAGUUUUCUGUCCUUUCCUUCAGGGACAGGUUCCAGGCCCCCAGUGGAGGCCUGAGACCAUGGACAGUACUGAGCCUAGUGGAUACUAGUGUUUUCUAUAUGUACAUAUGUAUGAUAAAGUUUACUUUGUAAGUUGCUAUAGUAGAAUUAAUAACAAUGCCUGAUAAUAAAAUAGAAAAAUUAUAUUAUACUUUAUUAAUAUUUGUUUAAAACUUACAGAAACUUUUGAGGAAUUUUUCAUUUACUGUUCUCAGACUGCCUCUGGGUAACUGAAACUGUGGAAAAUGGAUUUGGGGGAGGAGAGUAGAGACUACUGUAUUCAGAAGAGGCAUGAUUUUUGUGGAAAAAAUUAGACUUGUAUGCCAUUAUGGAUAUUUUCAUAUUUAUAAACAGUCCUAUAGAAUUUCAGGAAAGAAUUUUUAAAGAGGUGAAAAUUAAUUAAAUGUCUAUUAAGUCUGCAAGCAUUAAGGUGAUGCUGAGUGCUUGCUGUUUGUGCAACAGUGAUGAGGGCUGUUUGUUUUGGAAUAUAAAACCUUAUUAUUUCAGAAUAUUAUGGUUUAAUGAAAACUUCAGAUAUACAGUUAGUUACAUUAUAGUGGAAUAUGUAUAGUAAAAAUUCCAAAUAUCUGCUUUUGGAUUUUUCUAAAGAUAAAAGUAAUGAUAGGGAUCAUGUCAGAAUACGGAGGAAGUUAUACAAGGCAUGACCAUUAAAUGUGGAAAUUUGAGAAAAUGAAAGAGAAAGCAAGAUUUAAACAAAUAAUUUAUAAUAGGAAAUAUUUACAUUUAAAUUUAAUUGUACACAUCUAGAAGCAGUUACUAAGGGAAAACAAAAAGCAGAUCAUAAAACAUUGGAAAUGCCAUCAUGAGUAGUUAGACUUUUUUCAGAAAGAAAAUGGAAAUCUAGAUACGUUGAUUCAGUUUACAUCUCAAAUACUUACUUUUUAAGAGGACUAACUGUGUGGUUAGAUUGUAAAUGUCUCCCAAAGACAGUGUUUUGAAGGCUUGGUUGCCAGCUUGUGCUGUCGUUGGGUGAUGGUAGAACCUUUAUGAGCUGGAGCCUGGUAAAGAGGGUCACUGGGGAUGUGCUCUUGAAGCAGACAUUGAGAUCCACCCCUCAGCUCCACUUCCUGACUGUCUUGGGAGCAAAAAGCUUUGUUUACCAUGUGUUUCCACCCUGAUAUUCUGCCUGCUACAGGCCCCAAAUCAACAGGGCCAGUUGACCAAGGACUGCAUCUCUGAAACUGUGAGCCAGAAUAAACCUGAACAGUGAACAACUUUUGAUAAGAGUUCUGAAUGAGAUACCAUCCAGUUUCACCUUCAUGUAAACAAAGCCUGUGUUUUUGAGAAAAAAAUGCUUGGGCAUACGCUAAGGUAAUGAUGUAGUUUGACACUUUCAGCUGUGGUUAGUAGAACAUUUUAAAGGAAUGCAGGACUUAACCUAUGUCUUGAUUACUUUUCUCUCAUUGCUGGGAUUAAAUACUUGAUCCCCAAAAUUAAGGAAGGAAAGAUUUAUUUAAUUCACAGUUUGUGGAAGUUUCAGUCCAUAAUCAGCAGACUCAAGGGCAGGGUGGCAUGGCACCAGGGGCAACACUUCAAGGCUAAGGAAGACAGCAGAAGCAUCAGAAAUAAAAAAAGGAGGAGAGAAUAAGCCUUUUCUCCUCCUUUAUAUUUUAACCAGGCUACCACCUCCCAGGGUGAGUAUAGCACUCAAACUGCAACUGUGCCUUCCUCUUGCACAGGCUGAGGGUGUUUACAAAGUAAAGACUCUGGCCACCUGCUGUAUCGCUUAAACUUCUGACCUUCUUAAAUUGACACCACUGACAAUGUCCUAGAGAGAUGAUGGCUUGUCCUUUACACCCCAGAAGGAAGAGCUGCUGAAUUACUUGGUGAAAUUUGUAGACCCCUCAGGUUGACACAGUGUGUCAACCCGAACAGACUAUUAGUGUUCUAAGCCUGUUCUGAUAAGGUGGUUUUCUGCCCUUUCUUCUGCCAGUACAUCAUAGUAGUAUUGUGACAAAUAAAAUUUCUUUCAAGUUUUCUUGAUUUUAUUUAGGAAGAGUGUCAGACUAGUUGAGAACUACUGGCGAGUUGCAACAGCCACUAUUUGUAUUUUUAUUUUUAAUUAUUUACUUGCUUUUGGUGCUGCAGCUUGAAACCAGAGCCUUACACAUACCAAGCACUUUAUCACUGAGCACCAACCCCAACAUAUAAUUAUUGUUUAUAGAAUUUAGCUCUCAUUCUUCCCAUUUUCUAAAAUCUUAAGUGCACUCUGAACUUCAAUUUUUUUCAACUUGAAAAUAGCAUAUUUGUUUAGAUAAAUGAAAUUCCUUUAAAAAUAUAUAUCAUUAACAAAAUAUUAAUGAUCCAAAUUCAAUAACAUAAAAUUAAAAUUUAGAAAAUAAAAAAUUAUGAUGUUAUCAAGUACAGUAGAAAUUUUUUCCUUUAAAAAAUAUCAUUAAUUAAAAUUAAAAGACAAGGACAUACCAGGAUAACGCCCUUACAUAUCUAAUAAAGAAAUUAUAAUUAGGCUAGACAUGAUCAUGAGUUCCUGUUAAACCCAGUACUCUGCAAGGCUGAGACAAGAAGGAUUAUCAAGUUUAAGUAACCCGGGCAACUUAGCAACUUAGUGAGACCAUGUCCAAAUAAAAAAAUUUAAAAAGGGCUGAGGAUGCAGUCAGCAUGAAAGCAAGCCCUGGAUUAUAUACCCACUACCGCACACUUUUAAACAAAACAAAACCUAAAGAAAUUAUGUUUAGAGUGUAUUAAGAGCUUUACAACUCAUUAUUAGGUAAUUAAAAUAAGCAAAUGAUAUGAAAAGAAAGCUUUUAACCAGAGUAAGUAUAUGGGUAUUCUUACUGGUAUGAGAAAAUGAUCAACGUUAGAAGUCAGUGGGAAAAUACAGAUUAAAAACAAAAUGGUAUAGUAGUAUCCACCUGUGAGAAUGGAUACAAACAGAAGAUUAGACAUUGUCAAGUGAUGAGAAGAACGAAGAGAAACUGGAAUGCUUACACAUUGCUGUAAUGAAUGUACAUUGGAGCAAUCACUUUGGAAAACAUUUUGUCCUUAUAGAAAACUUACACUUGAUAUCAUUCUUUGGUACCUGCAUAAGCAAUUUAAAAGCAUAUGUCUGCACUGAGUCUUAUUUGUAUAUUUCCAUAGCAAUAUUAUUUGUAAUAGACACAAACUGGAAACAAUUUAAAUGUUUACCAAUUGUUGAAUGGGUAAACAGAACGUGAAACUUGUGCUCGAUGGAGUGUACAAUAGAGUACUACGUCAGCUACACAUAACAGUGACAUAGGUGAGCCACAGAGUUAUUUUGAGUGAAAGAAACCAGGGACCAAGGACUAUGUCCUGUAUGAUUCCUUUGAUCUGAAACUUCUAGAAAAUUAAAUAAAGACAAAACAAGAUCAGUGUGCAUUUGCGAUUGGAUUUAAGAGUAGAGUUUGAUCUCAGGCACAGGAACUUUUUGGAUGAGGGAAACAUUCCAAAACUGGAUUAUGGUGUUUGCACAGUUAUAUAAAUUUACCCAUAAUUCCCUUGCCAAAUCCCUUGCAGUGAUCCUGUGAUGAGAAGCUUUAUCAUUUGAAUUUAUAAUUUCCUUUCUCAUUCCUAUUCCUAUUCCUAUUAAUGCUGUGUUCUUUAAUCCUACUUUCUUGAGUUUUAUCUUAUCAGAUACAGUACACUUUUUUAUAUUCUCUUUGCUUAUCUCUCAUCUUACUCAUUUCAUAACAAUUCAGGAGGGAUUGCACACACCUAUAAUGCCAGCCGUUGAAAGGCUGAGCAGGAGAAUCUCUGUGUUUGAAGCUAGCUUUAGCUACAUAUUGACUUCAUGGCCAGCCUAAAAUACACACACAGCAAGACUGUGUCUGUACCCCACCUCCCAUACCAAAACCUGCUCAGUGCCAGUCUCUGUGCCAUGCUCUAGUGCUACUAUAAUAAACAAAGCCCCCAGUCCCUGUAGAUUCCAUACUCCACAGAGAAGUUAUUAAUAUCACAAACUAUGUAAAACUGCAGUUAUGAGAGCAUAGUAAAGCAGAACCUAAUUGUAUUUUGAGUUCCAUCAGUUAGUGUCUGAGACUCAAUUAAAGAGCUUAGGAAUGUUAUUUUUGAAAUAACAAUUGAAUUGAAAUUUGAAGAAGUCAGCUGGAUGAAGAAGAAAUUUCCAGACAGAGGAAAAAGACUGUGAUGAGUAUAAGGACUACAAGGAAGGCCACAUAGCUGGAAUGUGGCUUGUAACAAGGGACAUGGACUGGAGAUGUUGUCAGUAAGGGGACCACACUGGGGCCUUCGGGUCAUGUUGAGCAUUUUGUCUUUAUCAGAAAUGCCAAACCAUAAAAUACUUUAAAGAGGAAGGAACAGGAAACAUGAUCAGUAUAGUAUCUGGAAAACCUUCUGACUGCAGUGUAGAGAACAGGUUGUGUAGCCUGGUACCACAGAAGAAACAUGGUGCUAUUCCCAGAAAUGGAGAAGACCAGCCAGAGUGAAAGAAGACUAGCUGACCAAGAAGGCUGUUAGUUUGGUUUUCUAAGAUGAAUUUGCGAAGGAUUUAUUCAUUCACUUACUCAACAAGUGUUUACCAAGUAUUGUCAAAGUACCAGCCUUUGACCGAUGAUCUGGGGACUAAGCAGUGAAUAAAAGACUUGAAAACCACUGCCUUCACUGAGUUUACCCUGCUGUAAUAUUUAACAGUCAGUAUUUACCAGGGUUGAGGACAUAGGUCAGUAAUAGAGCAGUCGCCUAGCGUGUACGAGGACUCUGAGUUAAUUCCCUGCCAUCAUAAAAGAAAGAAAAGUAUUUAUAACACAUAGUACUGUUUCUCUCAUUUCGGCCAUCCUAAGGAUGAGGUGCUCUGAGUCUUAUUCUCAUUUUUGAGAGCAUAGAGAUGUUAAAUAAAGUAUACAGUUGUUAAAUAUCUUAAGAUUACACAGCUAAGAAACAAUAAGCCCUGAAUUUGAAGAUUUCUGACUCCUGAUUAGUCCCUUUACUGCUAAACAUAUGACAAGUUAGCAUUUAGAUGUGUCAGUCAAGCUCUAAAGGAUCUGCUGUGGGUUCUCAGGCUAAGAUCUCCUGUGGAGAUCUUUAUGGAUGUGUGAAUUUCUGAGUUCAUCCUGUGUGUGGGUAAUUUAUAGCCAUAAACUUGGGAUGAGAUCAUAGAAUAAGAAAGCACAGGGUGAGAAUAGGAAACUGUAACCUUUAGUGGCUAAGUUGAUUAGCUGCAAAAAACAGAGUUUUUAGUUUUGGUGGGGAAACAUAAACAGGCAAUUAUAAACUAGUUUGAUAACUGCCUGCUAGGAUGCAGUAUGUACAAGAUGCUGAGAUGCAAAUUCCCUUUGGAGGCUGUUGUGUAAGCUGAGAGUUGAUGGUAGUAGUUAGUUGGCAGGUAGGGUGUGCCUGACUCACGGGAGAGAGGGGAGGGGAAGACAGAGACAGAAAAUAUGAAUGGGAUGGAAAGUAGUACACUGUGGCUAAACAUUGAGAACCCCACAACUGAUAGAAUACACUCAUUCUUUAUUUUAUUUUACUCAACUUGUUUGCUUUUGAUAUUCUUCUUUGCUGAAGCCUCUCUGUUUCAUAAUACAUUUACAUUUUCUGUUUUGUUUUAUAGAGCAAGAGUAUUUCUGUGUUGCCUAGACUGGCCUGGGGUCCUAAUCUCAAACUAUCGCCUUGUCACAGCCUCUCAGGUAGCUGGUACUACUGGCAGGAGACACUGUGCCUGGCUGUUUAACACAUUUGUGUUGAAUACUUUGAGCAAAAGCUUGCUGCCAGAUAUCAGCAUUGCCAGAGGAACAAGGCCCACAUCACUUUUGAGUCCCUGGAUGUUUUCCUAACUCCAUUUUUGGAGUCAUUCCUGAAGAAAUGUGUUGGUUACAUUUCCUCUGGUUAAUUCUUUUGUGAUCCUAACUUUGGCUGACACUUCAGCCAUCACUUAUCUCAGGUUAUCAGCUCUGGUCUUUAUCUGUCUUCUAAGUUCCACAUUUCUUUCAAAGACCCUAUAGAUAUUUCCAUGUGGAUAUAGUUCUGUCCCAUCAAUCUCAGCAUGUCCCAUACUUAAGUUGAAGUUCCUUUUUAUGUUCUCCUAGUACAAAUUUAUAGGUGGUAAUGGUAAUAGCGGCAAUUCUAUUUGCUAGAGAUUCCUGUAUGGAGUCCGUAAGACUUGGUAAAUACCUUUUGAGAUAGAUGAUAACAUCCCCUACAUUAACUUUUGUUUGUUUGUUUUAAAUACAGAGGAGCAAUAAUCUAAAUGCUGUGAACUGUCUAGUGCAAGUUUUAAAGAUUGCCAUUAAUGCUAAGAGAUAUUAAAGCAAGAAAUAAAGCUGAAAAAAAUACAGUAUUUUAAAGACAUUAUUAUUUAACUGGACAAAGUUGAUUCUUGUCAAAGAAUAUUAAUAGAAGUAAAGCACUCAUUGAAGUACUAGGUUAUGAAGCUCUUUCUAAUUUAUUUUAUUAAAGGGUAUGAAUUGUAAGAGUUUCUUAAGUAAUUCAGAUAUUUUUUGGCAACAGAAAUUACAUAGUGAUGGAAAUACUUCCAAACAUCUGUUUCUAUAAUGUAUUUCUCAAAGUAGUUACUUUUAUCAUUGCUCAAAUGCCACUUUCCUGUUAGAGGUACACAUUAGAUAACAGUUUUAUAUCAGAUAGCUGUUAAGGACCAUGUUGUAGCACACUGACACAGAAAAGUUUAGCAAAUUAGGAAUAAUUAUCUUUUAUAACAAAAUACCAUCAUACUGUUUAACAAUUAUCAGAUAAUUCUUGGUCACUUCAUCUAAUUCCUAAGUAUCAUAAAUACUGUAUCACUUAGUGUAAUCUGUGGGGUGAGGAUCUUCAUCAUCGUCAUUGUUUUCUGCAGUACUGGGAUUGAACCCAGCAGUGGUGUAAGCUGCGCUACAACUCAAAUCCUUUUUUAUAAUUAAAAAAAAAUUGUUUUAAAUGUUGAGGUAAGUUUCUGUCAACUUGCCCAGUCUAUCUUGGAACUUUCAAUCCUCCUGCUUUAGUCCCCCGAGUAUCUGGGAUUACAGUUGUGUGCCAUUUUGCCCAAAAUAAUAUAAUCUGUAAGCCUAGGUACCUAGGCAUAAAUAAAUCAGAACAUGUGUCAUCUUGCUAAAAUCCCAUGCCACCGUGACCUGAAUACUGAUAGACUGAGUACAGGUGCCAGAAUGAAAAAAUAGUAAAGCCAAAUUUUUACAUUUUCCCUCUAUAAAUAAAAAUAAAUACAGUACUUUUAUCUUUCAACAUUUAAAUGAGUUAUUUUAUGUACCCUCUGUGUAAACACAUGCUGUUUUAGGGAUAAGGUGCUGUGGACGUGUUUGGGAUAGGCUGUUAGUGUCAACAGAGACAGAUCAUUCUGGAAACAUUCUCAUUAUAGAUUUGAAGAAAAAAAUAUUACUAAUAAUGAAAUCAUGGAAAGAUGCCACUUUUGGCAGCACCCUAGGUAUAAGAUUGUGGUAGACCUGUGAUAGUGGGCAUGAGCUGGAAAUUAUUUAGGAAGCAGAUUUCUUGGGGUCUGGCACUUUGUGUUCAUGAAGGUUAAAGUGGAGAAGGUAUCUUGCUGGGUUGACUGCAUAGAUGAUUGUAUCAUCAUUAGAGGGGAAAAUAUAACACGAAGUGUUUUUCAAAUCUGUUUUUCUUUAUAUGUCUUUUGAACAGAGCCGAUAAGAGUACAUUUCAUUUCAUGCUUACAUUCUGUGCUUUAAAAUUAACAGAGUAUAGUUAGUUAUAAGGAAAUAUUAGUGGAAUAUUUUCCUUCACUUAUCACAUUGGCAGAUUUUUUUAUGUUAAGAUUUGAGUGGUAUGACUUACAAAUAUGUAUUAAUACUUAUCAUCCACAAAAAAUGUAUUAUUAAUUAACCAACAUCACUCAAGUUUAUAAAAUGCUCUUUAUCAGUAGCUCAGCAAAGGAAUAGAGAAAUUAAAUGCUUAUUGUUGAGCGAGUAGGUUUAUUGCCUUAUAUCUUAACUAGAAGUAACAGGUUAAAAGAAGAUCUUCCAAUGAUUACAGGAAGUUCAUGUCUUUUGGUCAAAAUUUUAACACAUGACUGAAUGUUAUAAACGACUAUUUUCCUUUUACAAACUGACUUCUUUAAAAUGAUGUAUGAAAUAAUAUGUGCUUUGCAUGUCCUGUUAUAAUGAUGAAGGUCAUGUAAUAUCAUUUACAUAAUCUCUAGUGGGAAAUGAACUCAGUAAUAUCCUUGCUAUAACAUAUACAUUAUCUGAGGUUUAAAACUCUCAUUAUUCAUGAAAGUUAAUUUUACAGUGGGUGUGAAUGAUCUAUCUUGUGGCUGGAUUUUUGAUCAUUUUAUAAAAUAAUGUGGUGCAAAGCCUACACAAAUAACAGAAAAACCAGUAAGGAGUGAUGCAUUUGCCUGACUCUCUGUAUGCCCGAUUGGAUCUUGAUUGAUGGCAAUCAUUUGUCUUUGUCAAAAAAAGGAGAAAAAUUCAGACAUUGAAAUAGGAGUGCCAUCAAACUUUCUACAAUGGCAGAAAGAUUCUAUUAAUGUGGCCUUAAAGCAUUAACUGUCUCUGUUGGGAAAUGAUAAAGAAUGUUAAUUUUUUCCUUGAGCAUAUUUAAGUGUAAAAUACAUUAUUUUGUGUACUGGUGGGAUUAAAAGAAUACUUUUGAUUUAUGGCAGACUGGAAUUGAUGAAAGCAAAAAAAAAAAAAGAAAAGCUUAAAAUGGUGAAAAAGAAAAUAGAUCUUUAUUCUUUUUAUUAUUAUAUUUUGCGAUGAAAUAAUAAAAAUUUAGUAUAGUGUUAUAAAAUCGUUAUACUGAUAUUGGACCUUGAAAGGUUGACUUGAAAGAGGGUUAAAGUAGAAGAGGAUACAUAUUUUUAGCUAAAUGUCUUAGUUUUUGGAAUUUUCUUUUCUUCUCAAAUAUUAAGGCAAAAAAGAAAUACCAGACAACUUUUAUUUUUGAAUCUAUUAAAUAAUCUUGCUUUGGAAAUAUAAAGAGAAUGUUAAGAUUAUUAUAUAUUGAAGAGUAAAAUUGGAAAGUGAGAUUUCGCAUUAGGAAAUGUUGUGACCCUUUAUAAUUUCUGGUAAUAAGAAAUACAUCAUACAUAUUAUUGAAGAAAUAUGUAUCUUAUAAAGGCUGAAUAUACUUUGUGCUUAAUUUUGGAAAUUUAUUAUUGUUCAGUUAUAGUAUUUCAAAUAACUAAUUUGGUUUUAAAGGCAUAUUUGAAAUAACUUCAAUUGCAUAUGAUAUUCUAUAGAAAUAUUUUAAAGAUUGAUUACCUUUCUAUUAAUAUUAAUGACUCAGAUUAACAUAAAAAUUAAAGCAAGCAAAGAUUUGUUGUAUAUUGUUGCAAAAUUUUUAAAAGUUACAAGUUUUAAAAAUAUUUUACCUGAGUUUGUUUAGAAAGUGAAAGCAAUCUGUCCAUAUAGUUUCUACUUUUUUGGUUUAUGUGAAUUGUGGUCGUUCAAGAAUACAGUGCUAUGAAGACUGUUUCACAACUUUUGAUAUUGUCUUAAUUUUAUAAAAUUUUAUAACCUAUGUAGAGAACAUUAUUCCUAUGUAAAAAUUCAAAUUGGAGCUGCGUAUGAUGGUACAACGUAUAAUCCCAGCACUCAGGAAGCUGAUAUAGGAGAAUCUCUGCAAGUUUGAGGCUAGCCUGAAAUAUAUAGUUCAGGGCAAACCUAGAAGACAUAUUGAGAUCCUAUCUGAACGAAAUGAAAUGAAAUAAAACAAAACAGAAUAACACAUUGAAAACAAAUCAAAUUACAAAACUAAAGUGUAGCUAAGUUGUAGAGCAUCUGAGGGUUUGAUCUUAGCACUGCCUAAAAAUUUUAAAGUGGGCAUCUUUAUUUUCUUUUUCAAUUUUAUAGGAUAUAUAAAAUACAUUCUGAUGGAAAAAUAUUCAAUCAGUAUGUGAAAGUUCCUUUGCUACCUAUCAGUGUCCAGGAAGCCUCCUAGUGGUAAAAGAGAAAUUAUUUAAUACAAUCUUUGGAGUUGCUCCUCUGCAUUUAUGAACACAUUUUAAAAAUACAUACCAGGCAAGCCAUGAUGGAUAAUAUUUGGUUUAUAUUAAAUGCUGUUUUUAUAUAUCUACCUCUUUAUGUAGGUAGAUGAUAGUUUGUAGUGUGAAAAUAUUGUAAUUCAUUUGAGCCUUUUAUCAUAUUUGGUAUUAAUUAUUUUCAUUGUACACUAUAGGGGCUUAGUGUGGCAGUUAUAUAUAUAUAUAUAUAUAUACAUAUAUAUAUAUAUAUAUAUAUAUACAGUUGUAGUGAUGUUUGAGAUCUUUGUACUGGUAGACAUUGAGCUCACAUCUAAUAUUUCCUUUCAGAGAUGCUAUAAUCCUGUAUAUGUAUAUGGUAAAGUAUAUGUGAACAAUUUUAUAGCAUUUAUACAUAUUUAGAAGUAAAAUAACUAAGUCAAAUGGUUUAAUAUGCAUUUUAAAAACACAGAAAAAUACUAAAUUCUCUUAAAAUCCUCAUGUAGGGUAAGAUACACUGCCAGGCAGGAUUUGCCAGUCAUGUCCACCUGCCAGGUGUUCUGAUCUUUCUGUAUAUCUGUUUCUAGCUAGAGAUUCGGCCUCAGUGUAACCCUGGACCCUAGGUGCUCACUAUGAGUCAGGAGCUCCUGAAGUGGAAUCAGCCCAGCAGUUGUCCUAGAAGUCCAGGGUGUGGACCCAGUGGUGGAGCAUCUCUAGUUUCCUCCCUGAGAAUACCUCUCUUUUGUAUCAUCUAGAAUUUUACCUACGAGUUUGAUACUAUCAGGUUUAUUUAAAGAAAUUUCAUAAUUUUGGUUGUAUGGGUUGCACACUUAUUUUCACGUACUCAGUAUUUUCUUAAACUUAUAUCUUUAGAUUAAUUAUAUAAAACAGUGUCUUUGUAGUCUGUGGCACUCAAUAGGAUGUAGAAAACUAAGCAUGUCAUCACCUCCUUCCCUGUAUGCUCAUGAAAAUGUGGCUUACCCUUACUUCUGCAUCUGUAGUAGGUCUUCAGUCCUUGGACAGCAAGGAGAAAGAAAGAAUCAGCUUGAGUGUUCUUGGUUUCCAUCUAGAGGAGUCUAUGUGUGUUAGAGUUCACCUAUGUCUGUCUUUCAUACUCCUCGAAAGGGCGUGUAUGAAUGGUGUAUUUCUUUUGGUCCUCUGGCUUCCAGGCAAAAUAAAAAGGCAAAAUAAUUAAUUCUGUACAUUUCCUUAAACAAUAUUCUUUGAGAUAUUUAAAGAACUGUUAAGUAACAAACGUUUGAACAUAUAUUCAGACAGAUAUAUGAAAUACAAUGAGUAAAAUAUAUUUUUAAAGUAAUAGAACUUUCAAGGUGGUGGGAACUUACAGAUUGUUUAAUUCAGCACAUUUAUCUUGUACAUGAAACUGAGGCCAAAGUAGGUUAGGUUUUCUCAGAAUCCAACAGUUAAUGAAUUAUAAAGUAUGAACAGAAUUUCUGUAUUUCCCCUCGUCUGGUACUGUAUUUCCCACACAUUACCUUGCUUUUAAGUUACUUUUACAGAGUGACAUAAUUAUAGAUUUUUAAAAAAAUUUUUUUAAUUUUAUUUAAAAGGAAAAAGGGAAAAAUCAAAACAAAACAAAGCAGUGUAAGGGUACAAGUAGUACAGAACUACAAAAAAAACAACAACAAAAAAAAACAAAACAAAACAGUAAGAAAUCACCAGUCAUUAGAUUACACAUCAUCAUAGAGAUAGUUGCUCAAGUCACAAUAUCAAAGCAUACAAAGUGGAUAUUCAAACAGUGAGACUGUAACAGUUGUGUUCAAUGAUCCAACCAAAAACAUUAAUAUGGUCAUCUAUUUAACACCCCUAAACACACUUGCUGUUGUAUCCUUUAGAGCACUUUUUUUCCCUCUCUUUUUUUACAACACAAUUUACACAUUUUGGGUUUUAUUACUCCUUAGUUCUUAUUACUUUUUUUUUGGAAGAAAAUGAAGUCAAAUAUGGCAAAACAAAGCUGUCAGUCAAAACCAAGGAUAGACAUAGCACAUGAUGUAAAAACAGAGUACAAAGUUGUCAACAAUGGUUACCAUAAUGCCUCUUGCUUCCUUAAAAAGAAUUGUCUAUCUCAUUAGGUAUUAUAAAGUUGAACAAAACAGUAGAGAACAAGACCAAUAAAACCUAAAUGUUGUAAAUAUUACAGAUAUUCUAAAGGAGAUAAUAGUCAAGCCAGAAUGGGCAUCAUAGUGAAUCUUAUUGCCUUCAAAGAAGUUGCCUAUACCCUCAAACUUGAUACUAUCAUACAGAACAGAACAGAGUCUAAUCAGUCAAAACAAGAUAGUGGGAGUAUUUACAGGACUUCAAAUCAAGUUAAUAGGAAAUCAAAAAAGUUACUAUAAUAUAUCCUGCUAAUUUUUUUUAUUUUUCCCCUUAAUUAAAAAAAUCAUUAAAAACUAAAUAAUUUUUUAAUGAAUAAGGGAGAGAUUCAGAUAAAAGAAGACAUAGCAACAUAAUAAUACAGGUCAAAGCAUGACUUUCAGCAACCUAGUGCUUCACCACCAAUAACCUGACAAUAGUAGUUACCAUAGUGUCUUUUUCCUUGAAAUAUUUGAAUAUAACUUCAUAUACUAUAGCUUCAAAUAUUUCCAUAUCAAGCAGCCCAGAAUAAAGCCAUUCCAAUUAAUAAGUGAAAACUUUAUAAGGCUUCAAGGCCACAUAAUGGGGAAUCAUGAUUACCACACACUUUUAUAUAUUUGAAUCAUUACUUACAUUAGGGAAACUAUUCGGUAUUCAGACAUGCGAGAUUGAUUUAUUUGACUUAGGAAUAUGGUCUCAAGCUGCGCCCAUUUAGUGAUAAAUAUCUCAAUGUGAUCUUUCUUUAUAGCUGAGUAACACUCCAUUGUAUAGAAAUACCACAACUUUUUUAUCCAUUCCUCAGUUGAUGGACACUUGGGUUGUUUCCAAGAUCUGGUGAUUACAAAUUGUGCUGCUGUAAACAUAGGUGCACAUAUAUCACUGUGGUAUGAUGCUUUCAGUUCUUCUGGGAAUAUGCCUAGAAGUGGAAUUGCUGGGUCAAAUGGGGCUUCUAGUCCCAUCUUUUUGAGAAAUCUCCAGACUGACCUCCACAAAGGUUGUAGCAGUCUAUACUCCCACCAACAGUGUAGGAGAGUUCCUUUUUCCCCACAGCCUCUCCAGCAUUUGUUGUUGCUGGUUUUCUUGAUCCUGGCCUUUCUUUCAGGAGUGAGAUGGAAUCUCAGUGUGGUUUUAAUUUGCAUUUCUCUAAUGACCAAUGAUGAUGAACAUUUUUUCAUAUAUUUAUUUGCCAUUUGGAUUUCUUCAUCUGAGAAGUGUGUAUUCAUCUCAGAUGCCCAUUUUUGGAUUGGAUCUUAGAAUUUUGGGGGUCUGAGUUUUCUUAAUUCUUUGUGUGUUUUAGACAAAAGUCCCUUGUCUGAGGGAGAGUUCACUAAGAUCUUUUCCCAGUUUGUGGGUUUUCUUUUCACUGUACUGGAGAUUUCUUUUGACAUGCAGGAAACUGUUUAAUAAGAGGUGGUCCCAGUUAUUGAUUCUGGGAAGUAUUUCCCAUGUGGUUUGAGUCCUGUUCAUGAAUUCUCUGCCUUCCCCUAUGUCUUCAAGGUUUCUACCCAAUUUGUCUUCCAAUAGAUUUAGUGUUUCUGUUUUAAUAUUCAGAUCUUUGAUCCAUUUAGAUUUUAAUUUAGUACAUGGUGAUAGGCUUGGGUCUAGUUUUAGUUUUCGGCAAAUGGAGAGCCAGUUUUCCCAACACCAUUUAUUAAAAGAGACUGUCGUUCUUCCAGUGAACUUGCUUGGCUCCUUUAUCAAAGAUAAGGUGAUUGAGUGUGUUUGUAAUUGUGGUUGUAUAUUCUAAUCUAUUCCAUUGAUCUUUGGCUCUGUUUUGAUUCCAGUAUCCUGUUGAUUUUACUACUGUUGCUUUGUAGUAUAACUUCAAGCCAGGGAUUGUGAUGCCUCCUGCCUUGCCUUUGCUGCUUAGAAUUGCCUUUGCUAUUCUAGGUCUCUUCUGGUUCCAGAUGAAUUUUAGGAGUGAUUUCUCUAGAUUUAUAAGGUAUGUUGAUGGUAUUUUUUAUUGGGAUUGCAUUGAAUCUGUAUAACAGUUUUGGGAGAAUGGCCAUUUUCACAAUAUUUGUUCUUCCUAUCCAUGAGCAAGGGAUGUCUUUCCAUUUUCUGAGAUCAUCUUCAAUUUCUUUUUUUAGUGUAUUAUAAUUUUCCCUGUAUAGGUCUUUCACUUUUUUCGUAAGAGUAAUUCCUAAAUAUUUCAUUUUUUUGCUUGCUAGUGUGAAGAGAGUGGUUUCUCUUAUUUUCCUCUCUGUGAUUUUGUUGUUAGUGUAUAGGAAUGCUAUUGAUUUCUGAGUACUGAUUUUGAAUCCAGCUACAUUACUGAAUUUAUUUAUUAUAUCUAAGAGUCUUUCAAUGAAGUUUAGGGGGUCUUCUAUGUAGAGUAUCAUGUCAUCUGCAAACAAUGAUAAUUUAACUUCUUCUUUUCCUAUCUUUACCCCUUUUAUUUCUCUCUCUUGUCUAAUUGCUCUGGCGAGUACUUCCAGUACUAUAUUAAAUAGGAGUGGUGAUAAAGGACAUCCUUGUCUUAUGUCUGAUUUUAAAGUAAAGGCUUUCAAUUUUUGGCCAUUUAGUAUCAUGCUGGCAUUUGUUUUGUCAUAAAUGGCCUUUAUUAUAUUGAAGUAAAGACCAUCUAUUCCAAUUUUCUGUAAAGUUCUUAUCAUGAAUGAAUGUUGGACCUUAUCGAAGGCUUUUUCUGCAUCUAUAGAAAUGAUCAUGUGAUUUUUACUUUUGGCUUUGUUGAUAUGGUGGAUUACAUUUAUUGAUUUACAUAUGUUGAAACAUCCCUGCAUUCCUGGGAUGAAUCCCACUUGGUCAUGGUGUAUAAUCUUUUUGAUGAUUUGCUGCAUCCUAUUUGCCAAUAUUUUAUUGAGGAUUUUUGCAUCUGUGUUCAUUAGGGAGAUUGGUCUCUAGUUCUCUUUUUUAGUUGGGUCUUUCUUUGAGUUUUGGUACAAGAGUAAUAUUUGCUUCCAGGAAUAACUUAGGAAGGAUGGCUUCCCUUUCAAUUUCAUUGAAUAGUUUGAGGAGUGUCGGCCUUAGGUCUUCUUUGUAUUUCUUGUAGAAUUCUGCAGUGAAUCCAUCUGGGCCUGGGCUCUUCUUUGUAGGUAAGGACUUAAUUAUAUUUUCAAUUUCAUUAAUAGAGAUUGGGUUUUCAGCAGUUUUACAUCCUCUUCAUCUAGCUUUGUUACUUCAAAUGUUUCUAUGAAUCUGUCUAUUUCUUCUGUAUUAUCAAACCUUUGAGAGUAGAGGUUUUCGAAAUAGGUGUUGAUGAUCGUCUGUAUUUCUGUAGAGUCUGUAGUGAUUUCACCUUUUUCAUUUCUUAUUGCAUGAAUUUGAGCUUCUUCUUCCCUUUUUUAAAUAAGGUUGGCUAGGGGCUUAUUGAUUUUAUUUAUUCUUUCAAAGAACCAACUCUUCGAUUCGUUGAUUCUUUGGAUUGUUUUCUUAGUCUCUAUUGCAUUGAUUUCUGCUCUGAUUUUCAUAAUUUCCUCUCUUCUUUUGGCUUUGGGCUUGACUUGCUUUUCUUUUUCUAGCUGUUUGAGGUGUAGCAUCAGGUUGUUUAUUUGUAUUCGUUCUGUUUUCCUGAUGUGGGAACUCAGUGCAAUAAAUUUUUCUCUGAGGACGGCUUUCAUUGCAUCCCACAGAUUCUGAUAAGUUGUAUCUGCAUUUUCAUUUUCUUGUAGGUAUUGUUUAAUUUCUUCUGUGACCCACUGAUUACUGAAGAGUGCGUUAUUCAGUUUCCAUGUGUUUGUGGGAUUUUUGCAGUAUGUUUUAUCAUUAAUUUUUAAUUUCAAAGCGCUGUGAUCCGAUAACAUGCAAGGGAUGAUUUCAACUCUUUUGCAUUUGUUUAAAUAUGUUCUGUGAGCUAAUAUAUAUGGUCUCUUUUACAGAAUGACCCAUGUACUGCUGGGAAGAAUGUGUAUUCUGAUGUUGUUGGGUGGGAUAUUCUGUAUAUGUCUAUCAAGUCCAUUUGUUCACCAGUUUGCUUCAGUUCUGUUAUUUCUUUGCUCGUUUUCUGUCUGGUUGAUUUGUCCCUUGGUGGCAAUGGCAUGUUAAGGUCUUCUGUUACAACGGUGUUACUGAUAAUUUGAGUUUUCAUUUCUGUUAAUAGUUUUUUUAUAUAACAGGGUGCUCUGGAGUUUGGUGCAUAUAUAUUUUAAGAUAGUUAUCUCUUCAUCUUGGAGUUUUCCCCUAACGAGUAUGUAGUGACCUUUUUUUCCUUUAUGGUCAUUUUUGGUUUAAAGUUCACGUUGUCUGCAAACAGAAUGGCUACUCCUGCUUUAUUUUGGAUUCCUGUUGCUUGAAGUAUUGUUUUCCAUCCUUUGACUUUCAGUAUGUGAGUAUCUUUCUGGGUUAGAUGGGUUUCCUGUAAACGGCAUAUGGUUGGAUUUUGUUUCUUGAUCCAUUCUGCUAGUGUGUUUAUUUUGAUUGGUGCAUUGACACCAUUUACAUUAAUGGUUAUAACUGUUAUAUGCUGGUUUAUUGUUGACAUGUUUUGUUUUUUGUUUUUUGUGUUUUUCCUUUUUAUCGGUACCGAGAAUCAAACUCAAGAUUGCCUGCUUGCAAGGUAGGUACUUAUGCCACUGAGCUCAAUCCCCAGUCCCUAUUGUUGACAUGUUAUCUCUCUGCUGUUGCAUCUCUAUCUUUCUGUUCUGUUUAAUUAUCUGCUUUGCUUAGUCGCUUUUUCCUUUGUGUAUCUAAACUGUCUCUCAUUUUUUGCAGGGUUGGCUUGGUGUUCAUGUAGUUUUUCAGCUGUUCUUUGUCACGGAAGUAUAGUAUUUCUUCAUCAAUUUUGAAUGAUUGUUUUGCAAGGUACAUCAGUCUAGGUUGGAAAUCAUUUUGCUUUAGGAUCUGGAAUAUUUCACUUCAUGGUCUUCUUUACUUUAUUGUUUGUGCUGAGAAGUCUGCUGUGAUUCCGAUAGGUUUUCCUUUAUAAGUGAUCUGUCUUUUUUUCUCUGACAGCUUUUAAUAAUUUAUUCUUGUGUUUGAUUUCUGGGAUGGUGAUUAUUAUAUGUCUGGGUGUAGUUUUAUUUUGGUUAUGACUAUUUGAAGUUCUAUUGUCUUCACUGAACCUGAUGUCAGUUUCUCAUCUCAUGCUUGGGAAAUUUUCAGCUAUUACUUCUCUAAAUAUCCUCUUGACAUCCUUUAUGUUGUCUCUUUUUUUUCAUUAAUCCCUAUGAAUCUUAUGUUAUUUUUCUUUGCAUCAUCUUGCAGUUGUUGAAUUGUUAUUUCCUGAUUCGUUAUUAUUUUUCAAAGAUCUUUUCUUUCCUGUUCACUAGCUGCAAUCCUGUCUUCAAGGUCUGAAAUCCUGUCUUCACUUUCCUUGAGGUGGUUUUUACAGCUUUCAGUGGAGUUUUUGAUUUCCUGUAUAUCUCUGUGCAUCUGCUUUAUGUAUUCUGUUUGUUUCUUAUAUUGCUCAUCCAGGGAUUCUAUCUUUUUGUUUAGUGCCUCCAAUUUUUUACCUGUGCUUUCUUUAGAUAUAUUCAGAAUCUCUUUCAUUUCUUUUACCAUUUCUUGUUUUACCUGGGAGUUUAUUUCGAGUUUGAAUUCCUUUAAAGCUUCCUGGAGUUGCUUAUUUAUUUCAGUAGCUAGUAUGUGUGAUAUUUGAGGUAAAUGGCAUAUGUUUCCUUCUGUAUACAUCGCUCCUAGGGUUUCUUGAGGUGGGCUGGAGGUUUGAGGUUGUAAUUUGGUCUUUCGUUUUGUCAUUUUCCUAUAUUUCUGUGUUUCAAGUGUUAUUCGAAUGUUUCCUCAGGCUCUUUUGGAAAUCCACUUCUAUGUUCACAGUUCCUGGGACUCUUGGCACCCAGUUCCCCCAGGCCACUGGGCCUCUAGAACCAAUGGCCCUCUUCUGCCUGUUUAGAACUCUGUAGUUCCGGACAAACUGGGCUCUAGGGAAGCUGUGCGCCCUCCUGCUUGCUGGAAACUCCACAGUUCUCUGAGCGCAGCCGGAAUGGGGAGGCAGAUGUAGAUGCCUCAGACCUAGUUAGCCACUUCACUGCAUCGGGAAGUCUGGAGGGUCCCGAACAGUCUGGGCUUGGGGCAGAGGGCACUGGGCACUUACCGCAGGCCGCGGGGCCUCUGGAACUGGUGAUGCUCGCCUGCUUGCUGAGAAAUCCACAGUCCUCCAGACACCCGGGGAGGCGCCCCAGAUCUGCCCAUCCCUUGCUCUGCACCCAGACGGUGCGAGAGUCCCAAAUAGGCUGGGUUCCAUGGAUUGUGUGCGCCCACCUGCUUGCUGGAAACUCCACAGUUCUCCGAAGCAGCCGGAAUCUAAUUAUAGAUUUUUUAAGAAAGUAUAUGUAGACACACAAUAUAAAAUAUAGAAAAAUUUGUUAAAGAAUAAGAAGCAGUUACAAGGAACAGUUUUUUUAAAUAAUAGAGUUUGGAAGAAUUAAGAAAUAAUUUAUAGGGUAGGGGAGAUCAGAUAGAAUCACCAUAAAGAGCAUCUUUCAAAGCAGAUGUUUCAGGACCACUUAAGGCAUGAAUUUUCAUUUUCGUGUUAUGUUUUUUCAAUCAUUUUUAGUUUAAAUUUUUAUUUUAAAAAAGCCUCUUCCUCCUUUGUACUUUAUUCUAUACUUUAUUCUAUGGUAUUUGUCUCCAUAGUAGUGAUACUGGAGGGAAAGUAGCCAAGCUUAAGAGGUUUCUCGUGAGCAUUUUCAAGUCUCACAACAGAAUAACAUUAAAUUCCUUCUAAGAAAAAAAUCAAAGCUAAUAUUCAAUAUUUAAAUAUGUAUAUUACUCUAUUUACCUUCUUUAAUUAUGCAGUUUUUAAACCUAAAUAACUGCUUUUAUUCUACAUGUUUAAAUAAUGUGUCAUUAUAUCUUAACACAUUAACUUUCACAUAAUACAUAUAGAAUUCAUUUUGAAAAGUUAAAUUACAUUCAACAUUACAUGCUUUAGUAGAGCACAGAUUAUCCACUAUAUGUUGUAUUGUAUAAAAACUUUAUUUUCUUCCUUAUUGUAUUAACAAAAUCAUCUAACUUUGAGUUUAUCAGCUUGCUUUUAGAUCUAAGAAAGUGACCUGAAUAAAAUACAGACAUACUUACUAUUUUGGUAGGCUUUAUUAAGGGCAUGCCCAAUGAUAGGCAUUCAGCUAGUAGUUGAAAUUUAUAUAUAAUGAAAAAAAAUAGGCUUUGACCUCCAUUUUAGAGCCUGAUGGUGUAGAUGUAUUGUAUAAUUACAGUUCACUUUUACUAUCUUACCUGUAGGAAUAAUAGAAUUUAUUGUAAAUGUGUGCAAUAAUAGACUGAGUACAAGUUGGUUGCAAAUGAUAGACUAUGAGAACAGAACCAACUGUACAGAUCUGUUUUCUUUUGCUAAACUUUUAAAAAUAUCUUACAUUUAAGAAUAAGUGUUUAUUACAAACCCUCAUUGUCAGAUUGUGAAUACUUGCUAGUGUUUCCUAAGUAAUUUGAAGUUAAGCAGGUGUUAAAUUUUCCUGUACUUGGUAAAAGGGCAAUUUAUUCCCCCUGAGAAUGAUUCAAAUCCUUAUGGAAAGAAAAAAAGCCACAUCAGCUUCCAAUUGUCAAAAUUCAGUUUUUAAAAACUCAAGUUUUUUCCCCAGUGGGUUUCCAGAUUGAAGAACAUAUGGACUCUAUCUUGUGAGUAAAAUACUUUCAUUUUCCUUUUGAAUUACUUUUAAGACUUCAUCCUGAUAUGAAAAGUGUAAAAUGAAACCAUAAGGCAUUUAAACAUCAUGUACCUUUCUUUGAUUUCUUUUUUUUUUAAACGUAAGUUGGUAAUGAUGUUAUAAAACUUAGAACUAAUACUUUCUUUUACAAUGUAAUACAUUCAUCUUAGGAAUGGUAAUGUUUAUUUUUCUAGGAUAUGAAAAUAUGGUGAUUAUUCUUGGUGUUAAUCUCUGAUAUGAUUAUUGAUUCUAGUGGAUUUUAAGUAGAUACUCAUUCAUCUUUAGAUGUAAAUUGCUGCUUUGUGAUAUAUAUAUAUAUAUAUAUAUAUGUAUAUGUUUGAUGUGAAUUUACUAAGUAAUUGAAAUAAACAGUAUUUUUAACUUCUGUGACCCAUGAAAAUGCUAUGGCUGACUGGGAAUCUGACUUGCUGUGUUUGCAAUAACAUUAAAAGCUGAAUAGGAUAUAACAAGAGAAUCUUAACCAGAAUAACUUAUUGCUUUUUAAAGAGGUUGAUUUGCUAUUGAAAACAUGCAACAAAUUUCUUCUAUAUAAAUUAUUUUUAAAUAUGGUGUUUAUGACUUUCAAUUAAUUUUCUUUAGAAAGAUGGGCAGAUUUUAAAAGGAGUUGAAAGGAAAGAGCCACAAAUCUAGUAAUUACUUUUCCUGUUUCCUAGUGAAAUGGAUUAAAGAUGCUCAUGAACUCUUUGGAAUGUUUCAACAUUUUAUUUAUAUGCCUGCAUGAUCCCUAUUUGGUAAUAGUGACUUUGAUUUGUGAAAUUGAUUAGCAGUUCUGAUAGACACAUCUGUGAUAGGAGAACAGGAUCUUGGUUUUUUCUCUCAUGCUAUGUGCUUAGCUAACACAUGUAACUAAAAGAAUGAAACAAAUAAUGAAAAAUAAACUUGUAAGUGAAGUAAUUUGCAAAAAACAAAAUAUAGUGUUUGUAAAGGCAAGAAUAGAAACUAUCUUCCAAAAAUCUUCCAAAAGUGCGUUUUUUGUUGUUGUUGUUGUUAGCAUUUUAACAUGGUUAAAGAGAACUUUAUGGUGACUGUAGCAAUGAAAUUUUAGAACAAAAUGAGUGUUGUUGUGGCUUGGGUCUAGAUGUCCCCCAAAGUCUCAUGCAUUCAUAGGUGGGUUUUUUUCAGAGACAGCUGGAUCUAAAGUGUGUGAUGCUAGAAUUGAUGGAAGGUGCAGUGCUGGGAUCUGGGGCAGUAGAAUUAAGGGUGUGACUGCUACCUGCCCUAAAUGGUCUAGAGAAGAUAAAGAGUGCGAAAGAUGUUGUUAGGUUCCUUGUUCCUUCUGCCUGCCUUGUGAAACCACCCUGCCUUAGAACCAGCUGAUUAUGGACUGAAACCUCUACUAACUGUGAGCUCAAUAAACUUUUCCCCCUUUAGCUUUGGGCAUUGGGUAUUUUGUCUCAGGAUUGAGAAAGGUAACUAAGACAGAUGUGUAACCUGUUUUGCUGCUUUGACCCUCAGUUAGAAUGUGUGAAAGCUCUGACAUAGACACUAGGUUGUAUGAAUUGGUAAUACUGUUUGUUACUUAUUUUAAAUUUCUAGAACUCCAUUUUUCUUCCAUUUAUAGCCUUUAUUUCUAAUCAAGACUAAUAUUGUAAUUAUAAAAUUUUUAUUAAAUAUACAUUUGAUUUGAGAUUCUUUUAAGAACUCCGUAUUUUAGUUAUUGAAAUUAAUGGUAGUGCUGUUUGUUAGAGCUAAUUCGGUGCCUGAAUUUUUUAGAAAUAAUUUUCUCAUUUCUUUCUCUUCCAAUUCCAAGUUGAAUAUUAAUAUGGUAGUGCCAAUAUAUGAAAUAUAUUCAAGCCUUCUUGAUAAGUUUGUUCAAAAAUGCACAGAACUCAUUGUCUUUGUAGAUUAAUAAACUGAAUGUAAAUGAACUUUUGGAAGUCUACAGCUUUUGUGAUUUUGCAUUCUUGUGUACUUGCUGAGUUUUUCCUCUUUGAUUCUUUCAAACUCAUGUCACCCAGGUUCUUAUUCCACUAGUCUACAGAAACUUUUUUCCCCACUCUCACCAACAUCAUCAAUAUUGUAAGCCAUCAGUUCUCAAUUUUUGUCUUGAUUUACUAAUAUGAUUGAUGUAGUUGAGUCCUUUAUUUGGUUCCUGGGACUCCAUACUCUUCUGGCUUUCCUCCUACCAUUCCCCAGAAUUUCUUGCUGGUUUCUCCUCAUCUUUUCAACUUCUUUGUAAUUGAGGUGACCCCAUGUCUCAGCUUUGAGAGUUUUCCUCUUUUGUGCGCUGGCUAUGCUCACUUCUUGGUAGCUCUCCAGCCAGUCCACACCAGUAUUAUAUAAACACUCAAUCUAUGACUUCUCAAUUAUGUAUGCUGUCAGGUCCUUUCCUGUGAGUUCCACAUACAUGCUCAGUGUCUACUCUGUGUCUCCAUUUUGGAUGUCUGCAUUGGUUUGAGCAGCACAAGCUGCUUCAGUGAAAAAAUUCCAAAACCUCAGCAAGUGACUGGCAUAAUAGAACUCCAUUUCUUUUUAUACAAAUAAUAAAGCGUGUUUCUGAUAGGUGAUUUCUUCUGUCUUCUAUCUUUACUAUCUUUGUCUCAUGGUUUCUGUGUUUGCCAUGUUCCUCUGUAUCAAGACCAUGGAAGGGGAAACUGCAUGGGCAGCUGUAUGCAAAAAAAUUUUAUGGGCCAGGCUUGGAAGGUAGUGCCUGCAGUCACUCUGUUCCCACAUCAAUAGAAGAGCUCAGUUGUAGAGCCACAGUUGCAAUGGAGACUGGGAAAAUAUGAUACUGCUAUGUGGUAAAAUGAAGGAGGGACGUGUGGAACGGUUAGGCCUUUCUCCUACUGAUUUCUAAUAGGAACCUCAAACAAAACAUGUUCAUUCCUAAGCUUUGGAUUUUCUUGUUUCUCUUUCUCUCUCGCUUUCUUUCUUUCUAUUUUUUUGUGUCAUGGAUUGAAUCCAGGACUUCGCACAUGUUAAACAUGUGCUUUACCAGUGACUUCUGCAUCUAGAUGUAAAACUGGAUUUUAAACCUUUUUAAAAAAUAAAAAUAUACUUUUCUCAUAUUUUCUCCCAACUCAUAUAAUACUCUAUUCUUCCAGUUUCUCAGAGAAAAUCCUUACUUUCUUUCUUCACAUCCCCUAUGUGAGAAUUAUUAGAAUGUCCUUGUGAUGCUUCAGAAUGUAUCCAGAGUUCAUUGACUUUUAACUACAUUAUGUGCUUCUGCUCUUCCCAGACAUGGGACAUUUCUCUUCUGUGUUAUUGCAGAAGUGUCUAAAGUGAACUUAACCAUUUCCAACAUUACCCUCUGCACCUAAAAGUCAGGUCUUUCUAGUAACCAGAGUGAUCACAUCAAAUCAUAGGUUGGAUCUUGUCACUUCUCUGCUUAAACUCUAGUGUCUAGUCCCAUAGAGAAUAAAAGUUAGAUUCUUAUUUUAACCUAUGAAAUCUUAACAUGACUUUUUUUUUUUUUUUUUUUUUUUUUUUGAUACUGGGAUUGAACUCAGGACCUUGUACCUGCCAGACAGGUGCUACGCUGCUGAGCUGUACCCCCGGCCCCAAUUUGGCAUUCUCAGUAACUGAGCUUUAUUUAUUCCGUAACUCUUUACCCAGAAUAACCUCUUUUUUGUUCUGUGGUCUUCCAGCUAUGUCUGCUUUAGAAUCUUUGCAUUACUUUUGUCCCUGCCUGAAAAUCUUCUACCUAAUAUAUUUGCAUAGGCAAGGCCUUUGAC